UUUUUUUUUUGGGUUCUGAAGAUGGCAAAACGCUCGGUGCAAUGUCCUUCGGUUGGUGGUCUUGGACCCAUCCUGAGUGCCCCAAAAUCUUGUUUUUCAACCGUUGCCUAGGGAGAUUGUUGUGCAUGCAGCGAGGAGGGGUCAUCAGUUUUCGUCGCCCAAGCCUCCCUAUGACCCGCAUUCGUGCGGUAGCCAACGAAGGCGCUGAGAUAAUGCAAUUUCUUUAGGUUAAGCACACGAAGACCCCAUUCUAUUUUGACAAGCUCCAAGCAGCUUCUUGUCUAGUUGACUUUGCAUUUGCCGCCUACAAGUUCUCUAUCACCCGCUCAUAAGAAGUGUUUCCUCGAUUUAUCUAGCUCGUUUAGCACCACUUUCGUCAUGUUUAGGAUGGUAAGAAGGUGUACCGACGGAGAGAUUGAGAUCGAUUUGGUUAAAGCUCAUCUACCCUGCCUUAAUAAUGAGGUCCACUUCAGACCGAUAGCUUUGCAGCAGUUUUGUCCACUAAGAAUUGCAACUCAAUUUUUUGUAGUAGUCUGAUCGCGAGCGGUAGUUCAAUAUCGUAUUGAGAACCCCAUUCAUGUUACGGGUAGGUCAGCCAGGAUUUCAUCUUUAUCAAUGUUGCUGCAGCUGAUGGGUGCCACGCUUAUUUUCUUCGAGGGUUGUUUUUAGGCAUGUAAGCUUGAUGAACCGGUGCAGCGGUUUGUUUGAAAGCCUCCACAUAAAGCCACGUAAGAUCGUAUGUGGACAGUCUAGAAAAAGAGAUAAAUCAUAGAAAUUCUCUCAAACUAGCAAAAUAUCAAGCCAUCAAUUCAGUAGACUAAAAUCAUCACAACCAUUGGAUUUAUUAUGUUUUAAUUUUAAAAAAUUACACACCUAUGUUGUAUCUAAAUUACACACAUCUGCCAUUAUGUAAAUUAACUAAAGUAAAACCCUAAUUUUCAUCUAAAUUACACACUUAUACCAUUAUAAGAAAGAUUUAAAAAACCCCAAAUUUGCAUCUAAAUUGUCCACCUAACAUUAUAAAAACUAACUUAAAGUAAACCCUUAAAUUUGCUUCUAAAUUAUCCACAUAUGCUAUUGUUAAAAAUAACAUGAGGUAACUCUAAAUUUGAAUCCAAUUGACCUUCAUUAAAAAUAUACCCCAAGUGUUGAUUUCUGAGUAGGCUCUCAACCAAACACUUAGAAAUAUGAACAUAAAUGAGAGGAAUUGAACCGUGAAGGGACUUGUAUUUCUCCAAAAUGUGAUCCCUUGUACAGUGGGAUGGCUUCCCUUUUAUAGGGGGGCCAAUGGAUAUUUUGCAUUCCAAUAUUAUCCUAGUUAACUGCUACAUUCUAUGCUGUACAUGAUGGUAAAAAGGAGUCCUAAUCCGACUUGAACUCUACAUGUGAGUCACGCAGUUCAUUGCAAUCUGACUUUUAAGAAAAUUGAGGAAACUCAAUCUAAAAAUUUAAUUGUUAGAAAUGUGCCCUUAUUUUUCUCAAUGGGAGACUCAACAUUAAUUCUCACGAGAAAAAAAGAUCUAGAAAUUUUCACAAAAUCAAAAACAUCCGGGCAUCAAUCCUAUAGACUCUAAUACUCAUAGCAAUUGGUCUAUUAUGUUUUCUAAAAAAUUAUCUACCACUAUCAUUAUGAAAAUAUUACCCAUAUAUACUGUUAAAAAAUAAAUAUAAAAUAACCUCAUAAUCUUCAUCUUAAAUUACCCAUACAUAUCAGUAAACAAAUAAAUUUAAAUACCCUUCUAAAUUUGUAUCUAAAUUAGCCACGUAUGUCAUUAUUAAAAUAAGCAACAGUAAAUAUUUAUUUUUUAAUCUAAUUAUAUGCAUGUUCAUUAUACAGAAGUGUCAAAAAUAAACUAAUAUAUAAUUCUAAAUUACCUAUAUACAUUAUUAUUAAUAUGAAAAUAUUAAGUUGGGGUAUGUAUGCAUGAUUGGUGUCACCAUAUAGAUUAUUUAUAUAAGGAUGGGAGGAAGCCAUGAAAAUAUUAAUUUAUUUUCAUGUUAAAUGUAGUGUAUAGAGCUAUGAUGCAAGGUGAAAAAAAGUAUGAAUAUGGAUGAAAAAGUGUAUAGAGUAAUUGCUAAAGUUAAUAACAACUGACGAGUACACAUCUAUAUGAAUAAUUGAGUAUUAUGUUAGAAUCUUAAAUAGAUGAUAGAGUCGUACAUAAAUAAUAUUGAUUAUUAACUAUGGGGUCUAAUUUUUAAAUUAUUAUUAGUCCGUGCUCUUGAUAAGCUGGUUGAACUAAAUCGAGCUGUGAAAAUUGCAUCCACAUUCAUAGUUGAUUGCUUAUUCCAGGACAGGAAGGUGAGACAAUGGCAGGAACUUCACUUAUAAUUACUACCUCUAUUCUUAAAUAUAAUGAUGUUUAGAACAAGCUAGUUCAAAAAUGAACCAAUUUGCUUGUCCUAAAUAACAUAUAUACUGUGGUGAAGCCUACCAUGAUAUCAAGCACCACGAUCCUCAUCGAUCGAGGACGGGUCCCAAACAAGUCAACAUCAGCAACCACACCUGGAAAACAAGCCACAAGCAAGACUGAGUAUACUAAUACUCAACAAGGCUUACCCAUCAGGUGGUAAUUACUCCACAACCUUCUAGACAUGCAGGCUUUUGGCAGUGGGUUUGUUUUUGCCAAAAGCGACUAAUAAUUGAUCCUUAUUUUCAAGUUUUAGCAUCAGGUUUUAUAUUCAUUUACCAUUCUAAGUAAGCACCUAAUCUAGUCAAACGGAGCCCUCUAUUUUAAAUUGUAGGUCAUUUUAGCAUUUCUAGUUUUUCUGUAUAUCUAGGUGCAUUGAAAAAGCUAAGAACCUAGAAAAGCAAAAGACAGUCUAUAAUUUGGAACGGAGGGAGUAAUUAAUUAGUACUCCUUCCAUCCCAAAAUAUAGCUACAUUAAAUGUUCAAAUUGUCCCAAAUAUAACAACGGUCAGGGUUCCAACCCCACAUUUUACAUAUGAAUGGACCAAAAUACCCUUAUCGUCUUAUCUCUCCACGCGUCAACCAAAUGGCUGGAUCUCCGAACGGUUCGUCGCCCUCUCCCCUUAUUCCGUGGUAUAAUUGGCGUUAAUUUGGUGAAGUAAAAGAUAUGGCGCACACCUAAUUUAGCAGCAAGAUUUUGCAUGGUAAAAAAAAAAUGCAUAUCGCAGUUGUUUGCAUGGCUCUCAAAAUUUAGAGCUGUUGAAUCGCUGGUGCCAAAUGAAUCAGAUUUGGCAAGCGCUGCUUUUUAGGCUAUACAAAUCUGACUCCAUAGCAACAAAAAGGAAACUCAGCUGGAUAACUUGCAUCGGAUGUGGAGCCAGGCAACACGGUUAGGCACCCGCAAAAUUAGCGUGUCUUUAUUGUGUAACAGAGCUGUGCGUAGAGGACGGAAGGAGUACUAGUUAGUAGGCAAUCUGGCAAUGCAAACGUGCAGUCGUGGGGAUCAACUCAGGGUGAUGCUGGAGUCGACCAGGAUCGGGCUCCUGACGACGUGAUCGUGCGACACCCAGCUCAGUGUCCCCUCGGCGAGCUUCUGCUCGGCGCUGGCUCCGGCGGCGCUCACUGUGACCGUGAACGUCUUCCUCUCCUUUACCUCCGUGAACUCUAGCUCCGCCGGCUCCACCUUGAUACUCAGCCCUUUCGGCGCUUCGAUCUUGGCGGUGUAGUUCGACUUCGCCGGACCGACGUUGGUCACCGUCCGGUUCACCGCGAAUGGCUCGGCGCGCAGCGGCACCAGUAUCGCCGGGUAGUUCAGCUCCGCUGCACCGAUGGGUUCGAUCUCCGUGCAGGUCAAGCUAGCGUUUCCGGCAAUGGUUUUCAGGGCCGCCUCGCCGAGGAGCUUGCAGACGUAGCCGGCGUAGUCGCGCACGCCGAGGUCAUACACCAGGCCGGGAUCGACGGCCCUCGUCGGGACCACAUGUCCGGCGCCGACGGCGUAGAAGCUUGCCUCCCGGUGCUCUUCGUCCAUGAUCUUGUGGCCGUCGUUGUCGACGGCGCUGGACGUCGUCAUGAUGGCGGACUUGAUCGCAGCGGGGGACCAGUCCGGGUGCGCCUUCUUGACGAGCGCCACGAUGCCGGUGACGUGCGGCGUCGCCAUGGACGUGCCGGAGAUGACGUUGAAGCUGUAGGACCCGGGCCCCGCGACGGGCACCUCCGACGGCCACGCGGCGAGGAUGUUGAGCCCCGGCGCCAUGAUGUCCGGCUUGAGCACGCCGGGGCUGGCGACGCUGGGACCCCGCGACGAGAAGGCCGCCACGAUCGGCGCCGGCUUCACGCCGACGACGGUGCUGUUGAACACGAUCGUUGCCGUAUGGUUGGACGUCGACGAGCCCUUCAUGGCGUAGCCCAUGAUCUUGGUUCCGUCGACCGCGGUCACCUGCGACAUGGGGAGGUCGUAGUACUUCUCCAGGACGAUGGUGUAUCCGAAAUCGGGUUCGUUGAUGAACACGAUGCCGACGCCGCCAGCCUCCCGGACAGCUUGGAUCGAGCUCAUGGGUGGCACCGGCGUCUCGGUGUCGCACACGACCAUCAUGCCGGUGAUGUUGACGUCGAAGAAGUCGCAGUAGUUCAUGCCCUGAGAGUAGUAGAGGGGAUACACCAUGGAGCUGAAGUGCUUGUCCUGAGUCAACGACUCGCCUUCGAACAUCUCGCCGUCGCCGAGCCGCACGGUGGCGCGGAAGCUCCGGUCCACCGACCCGGCCGCCACGGUCAGCAUCCACGGCGCUUCGUUGGACAGCGUGGAGGGCAGCGGGCCGCUGUUCCCACCAGCGCACACCACGAGGACGCCCUUGGACAUCGCCGCGAACGCGCCGAUGGCGAUCGGGUCCUUGUCCAGCGGCGUGGAGACGCCGCCGAGGGACACCGAGAGGACGUCGACGCCGUCCCUCACGGCGGCGUCCAUCCCGGCCAGCAAGUCGGACUCGAAGCACCCUUGGGCAUCGCAGACCUUGUACACGGCCAGGUGCGCGCCGGGCGCCAUCCCAGCCGCGGUGCCGCCGCCGGCACCGAGGCCGAAGGCCGAGGCGCCUUCCACGAACCGGCCGGCUGCCGUGCCAGUGGUGUGCGUCCCGUGCCCGACGUCGUCGGCGGUGGUGUUGUCCCCGACGAACGACGCAGCGCCGAUGAGCUUAUUGUUGCACCGUACGGGAGGCUGGCAGCCGCCCUUCCAUUUGGCGGGCGGCGGCGGCAUGCCCUCGUCGCGGAAUGAAGGGUGCUUCUCGUCGAUCCCGGUGUCCAGGAACCCGAUGAUGGCGCCCUCGCCGUAGCUCGUCUCGUUCCAGACGCCUUGGUCGGGCUCCAGCCCGAGGAACGCCGGCGUGCGCGUGGUCAUGAGCUGGAACCUCCGCUCCGGGAACGCGCGCACGAACCCCGGCUUCCUCGACACGGCGGUGAGCUCGGCGUCCGUCAGCCUCGCCGCGAACCCGGACAGCACGCUCCUGUACGAGUGGCGGAUGCGCCGCGGGGCGCCGCCGCCGCCGGAGUCCUGCAGGAACGACUCGUGCCAGAAGCGGUGCGCGGCCUCGUCGUCCGCGUGCUGCAGGUGCGCCGCCGGCCGAGGCUCGACGAGCACGAUGUAGGUUCGGGCGGCGCCAUGGGACCGCCGGUGCUCCGCGCCGCCGUUGGGGACGUAGCCGAGGACGGGGCACGCCGCGGCGACCAAGACAAGGGCGCGGACGACGCGUGCAGCCGGCGAAAUCGCCAUGCACCCCAUGAUGGUUUUGUGAGCACGAUCGGACGAAGAUGCAUUUGGAGUUUAUAUACCCGGAGAGAUCCCCGGCAGGGUUUGUUCAUCUUGUUUCGCUGCAUCGGUCUACCGUGCACGCAUGCGUGAUCCCAAGAUACAAGGCACUGCGCCCCUAAAACCAUGAACUCGCGAAACGCGUGUGCCGUCGAUUUGUUGCUCUCUUGAGUCCGUGGUCCGGACUCAACAGCAUCGAUUUGGUUUGGUGUUGCUUGCAUUGCAUAUUUAGUGUGAUGCGCGAAUUCUGACCCUUUUCGGGGCAGCAAGAACUUGUGUGUUCCUGGUGUACGGAGUACAUCGGUAGGUGACCAUGUAAAAGAGCACAUUGUUCAAAAGAGAGGUUUUGCACUUCUCAAAGAGCUACUGUCGCAACCAAGAGUGUUAAACAUGUGUGUGACCUUUGCAUCUGCAUGUAUAUGUAGUUUGCAGUCCAUCUGGGUGUCCAUUCACAUUCUCAUAUGCAAGUUAUGUGAUCAAGAUCAACCCCUACUACCCAUGCUUCACUGAAUCUAGUUCUUCAGUAGACUGAACAAUGGAAAUAUGGAGGAGAUCAGAAGUCUCGACAAUAUUUACACAGGUUUAGUACAGAAACAUUGAAGUUAACCACCAGUGCUCAUGACUGAACAAUCAGGGCAUGAUGCAAUCCAGAGUGAAAUCAACAGCCACACAAGUCCGCAGCUAUCUCAGCAACUAGUCCAAUAAUCCAUAUGGCAUGACAGAAGCCUAGAAGAGUUCACAUCCACUAGCUCUACGCGACUGGGGACCCAAGGGUAUAUCUAGUAUCGCUUAUACAGAACAGAAAGCAAUGGGUCCACAUUGUAAUCAUGCCCUUUCUUGUCGGAGCAGCACUCCGGGCACUCAUAGUGACCUAUAUGCUCUGCUAGAGCAGCCGUUACCUUAACACAUUUACCAUGAAACCAACGAUCACACUCAUCGCAACAGAUCCAAAACCCAUUCCUACGGUAAUGGUUACCACAGCUUGCACAGACGGUCGGCUCCGUACCACAGCCUUCAUCUUCAUCCUCGAUCUCCACAUUCUGUUCAACAACCAACCAAGAACUCUUUGCAUAAGAAAAAUGGAACUCAUUUUGUGUUAGCUUCAUGCAUUAACAUCUCGAUUUGCAUAUUCUGAGCUUUGAAAAAAUAAACGCAGCGUACCAUUUUCUCUAGAUGACAUAUGCGGUGAUAUGUGUCACUAGCGACAAAAGCUUCAUGAACAGUUUGCAGACUGUUGAUCAAAGCGGACAAGUGCUGCCUGCUAGACAAAAACGAGCAAUAAUUCACUGUGACACAUGUUUUCACCUAAAGCUUUCACAAAAACUUGACAUCAAUGCAGGGCAAAACAUUAAUAACUAAACAUAUGCCACAAGGGACUCUUGAAGUACAACAUAAUUUCAAUAACUGAAUCAGAAAACAAGGAGACAGUUUUCUAAUUUGGCAUGGCACAAGGAUGAUGCAGCAGAAAAGAAUCUAAUUAAUAAGCUUAUGAAACAAAUUUAUUGCAACAUAGUCGUUCAGCUAAGCCAACCUUUCCAUUUUUUAGGAUGAUUUACUCUUGACUAUAUAAUGUAUGAUGAUUUGGAGAAGAAUAGAUGGAUGUUGACCCCACUACUAAAAGCAAACUAACACCAAGUAUUUUGGUUGGCUUGUACAGGAUAGACAGGGAGUACUUGCUAACUUUGGAGAUUUUAUUGCGAGAUUCAAUUUAUAAAUACCAAAUAAUUUCAUUAAAGGGCUCGUGUCAUCACAAAAUGAAUAUACCAUAAUCAAAAUGAAAACUUUUUGCUCGAAAAAAUCAAAAUGAAAACUUUGGUGCAAAGUUUUUUUUCACCCAAGAUAAUUCUUUAGCAUGUGUAAACACUAAAAACAAGACAUCCAAUUAGUAGUUAGUGUGAACUAAGUAGAGCUAAAUGCCAGCAUGGAAAUGUUGAAAUCUAGCUCCGAUAUGCUUACUACAAUAGCCCACAAUUAGUCAGAUGUUUCCAUUUGUAAAAACUCAAUUUUGUUAUUUUUGCUAAAUUAUCAGUUUUAUUUUUAUUUUACAAUUUGCAAAAAUUGUAGCUAUAGUGAGAAAGUAAGUACUAGUUGGAGGAACUCCAAAAGUUCCCUUAUAUUACCCCAAAACCUGAUUUAGGGAGAAAAAUAAAAAAAUAAGAUCCAACAACUCUCCUAUUUUCCCCGCAAAAAUACAACGACCCCAAAAACUCCCCCAUCGUCCCGCGUAUAUCCGCAUCGCGACUCCUCCCCAAUCGGCCCCGCGUCUUCCUUUCCCGCGUGCAGAGCCGGUCCCGCCGAAACUUUUCCCCGCUCGCGCCAGUUCUGGGAGGAGGCAAGCGUCGGAGGCACGAGCGGGCUUGCGGCGGCGGCGCGAGUGGCCUUGUGGCGGUGGCGGCGCAAACAGGCUUGCGAUGCAUCGACCACGUUCAUCUGCUCCAGUUCGGCAGGGGCAAGAACGGCCUGCAUCGAUCCCCCACCCUCCCCUGUAGCCAUCUCAAUCAAUCCCACCCGCCGCCGCACCUUCGUUCGUCGUGAAUCGCCACCACCGCCGCCGUGGCACCUCAAGAGGCCACCCCAACGCCAAGAACCACGAGAUCGAGGCCCCUACGUCGUACCCGACGCGCGGCUCCGACCUCAUCGGCCUCUCAUCGUUAACUACGCCUGUCGCCACGCCCUCAUCGCUACGGAAUCGAGGCCGGACCUCGCCGGGUGAGCUCGAACUCCGCUGCCUUUCCCCGUCGCCAUCCGAGCCUCCCUCACCCUCUCUUCUCCUUGUUUGGCCACGCAGAACCUCCGGAGGCUAUACCGACACGCGGAAGCAAGAACCCGAGGCCGGAACCCUGUCCACUGCGCGCGCCAGCAAGCCCUGUCCGCCUCCGGCCGUCGCUCGUCAUGCUCGUCAUGAAAUCAACGACGACGACACCCUGGUGAGCUGCACGAAAUCAAGACGACGCGGCGGAGGACAGAAGUAGGUGGCUCGAGCGCGCUUACCGUGGAAGGAGAAGGCAGCGCAGAGCAGCAGGAGGACGGGGAACCGGAGCGGCGGGGGUGGCGGCCAUUGAUGAGGGGGGCAGCCCAGCUUAGGGGGCCCACGCGUGCUAAUGUGGCAAGUUUUAUUAUUCAGGAUCUGCUGUGGGAUGUAAUGAUUUUGGGGGAAAAAAUUUAGUAGAGCUCCCAAUACAUAGUUUUAGGGAAGAAUUUUUUGGGAAACUCUUAGAGAUGCUCUUACGGCUGUAAUUUCUUUACAACAACCACAGGCGCCAUCGAUUGUUUUCCAUUUUCCAUGUGCAUUAAACUCAAGUGCAAAUUAUGAGAAAGCAGAAUGCAAGGGCAUUCUGUGCCAAACUCCAACUAUAAUAUACUGUAAUGUUUCUUUUUUAUAUGUAUACUGUAGUGUUUCAGGUCAUGUCUAAAAGUAUCAAUUCACAUUUACUACAAACUUCACAGACAAAGUGGAAAAGAAAUCAAAAUUCAUAAAAGUAGGAAAAGUGCAAGAGGUUGAAACAACAUAGAGGUACAAUGUCCUAACUUGUCUACAUGAUUUUUCAUAUAAAUGGAAUGCAAAUGAACAUUUCCUUCUCAUAAUGAUCCCAGGGAUCGAAUUAAACUUAAAUCUCUCUACAGCAUCUGCAUACAGUUAUCCUUCAAAUUAAUCUUUCAUAUAUUAGUAAACAAAAUACACAUACAGAGCAUGACUGUGCCUGACGAGAUGUUUAUAGUGCUUGUUAGGCACUAGCUAAAGGAGAUGAAAUAUCUUGGUGAUCUUUCGGGGUUUCUAAUUGACAGAAAAAAAAUUUCUAGUAUGCUCAUUAUUCUCAUACCUUGCUUGAGUCCCCAAAUUGGCACCGAGGAAGAAGGAGAUCCGAAUAAGCCAUGCAUCACAAUGCGUGGCAAUAUAUGCAAGCCACUUUGGGUGUUUCAUGUUGCCCCUGACUAGUUUAAUGCCGAACAUUCUUGGAUCAGGCUGCCCAGGUGGCAUGAGCAACUUCGGCGGCCGCAGCUCCCAAUUCCCAUCACUGUUGCCAUACAGGUACAGGGACUCUGUACCUGCAAGCAAAACACAAGUUGGCUGAUUUACCUGGUCACAACAUUGCAAGCAUUUAACCACUGUAACAUUGAUUGAUCCGACGAGCAGGAGCGCUCACCUGCGUUGUACUUACGAGAGAACGCCUUCUCAUCUGCACAACACACAAGGCUAAUAUACAGUUAGUGGCAGAGCUAAGAGUUUUGGGACAUUCCCUGACAUGACAUUGUCGACAUAUUACAGGCUAAAGUAUGCAGUAGUGAAAAUUAAAUAGCACAAUCACAUAAUGUUCCAGUAGAGGUAAACAGGUAGCCAACACAAGGAAGUAAUUGCAGAGAAUUACCGAUGUGAGAUUUCACAUUUUUAUCGUGAGCUUGUAAGAAAACGUCUCGUUUGAGAAAUGCACCCCAAACAAUGAAAUAAGAUUUGUGUGCUUUUUUAUACCCCAUUGUGAGCUUAAUCUUGUUGAGAAAUUCACCUUUUCUUCUUCUGGAAAUACACCUCAACACACAAAGUUGCAGAAACAGAUGAACAUGCUUAUCAUGUUGCGAUUCUAAAAAAAGGAGAAACAAGUUUACAAUGUUGAUAUAUAGUCGUUCGAUCAGCACGCAGUGAAGAAAGAAAACCCCAUGAGGUUCAUCACUUUAUCGUGAGCGACGAACCAAGGUUAAUUAAAUGACGGGAAAAAUAAAUCUGUGUGGAGGAUAUCCUUUCGUUUAGAUCCACGAGAAGCAAGAACGGGAAGAACAGCGAGGGUUUUCUCACCUGUGGUGAGGGCGCGGAUGAGGGCGGCGCGGCGGCAGGUGAAGUCCCUGAAGAUGCACUCCACGGUGUACGACGGCGUGCUCGGCCUUGCCGGCGGCGGGAGCGGGGCAGGCGCCGCGGCGGGCGGUGUCUCCAUGGGCGCGGCCGUGGCCUGGCUGCGCAGGGGCGUCUGGGCCGGUAGCGGCGAGCAUCGGGAGCUUGCGGGCAGAGGCGGUGGAGGGCCCGCGGGCGUGCCCGUGGCCUGGCCGUGCAGAGGCUGGGCUGGUAGCGGCGAGCGUGGGGAGCUCGCGAGAGAGAUGGAGAGCGGAAGCAGAGCCGACGCCGAGGCACGGAAAUGCCACAGGAAGCUGUGCUGGGUGAGUCGGUGUUGAAUCUCUUUCUGUUGUCUCAACUCCCACGGGAAAAGUGCCCCAUUUUUCCAUCUCAUCAUCCCACCCCCUCUUUCACCUUUUUCUGAUAAUCACCCUCUUUAACCUUUUUUUUGUCCUAAACAUGAAGUAGAGGCUUUGCCUCUACUCUCCCUUCUUUUUGCUCCUAUAGUAGUAUCCAUUGGCACCAAUUGGCAAUUGUACAGUCAGUGGAUUCCUCAUUCUCCACACCCGCGUCCAAACUGCAAUUAAUCUCAAUCUAUAUUGAUAAUUGGUUGCAAAUAUAUUGUCAAGUAUAUACUCCACAUCAGAGGGCAAUUAACAAAAGCUAUUCUAGAAAUAAUGAAGCUCUUGGUGUAAGGUUAAACGGGCAACUGCAUUAUCCUAGUACUUUGAAGUACCAGACUUGUCAUUUGAGUAGCAUUCUUGCAAAAAGAAAAAUAGUGGCAAAUUUGCAAAUGUCCUGCUGUUGUUAAAACAUACUCCCUCAGGGACAGGGAGUAGCAUAUUACAACAACCGUGCAAAUUAGAAACACUUUGGAUUCUACCAGAAUACAAGUGCAUGUCUUAAAGCAUAGCAAUAAUUAGAAGACACCGUAGUCUUUCUCAUAUUAGAAAGAUAUAAACCAUUAACACAUCGACAUAGUGGCAACAGCACUUUGACUAUCAAUAUCAAUAAAAUUGUAUUGCUUUAAAUGGAACAAUUUAUGUGUCAUAAAAAUAAUUUUUAUAUAUAAUGAAUCUAAUAGUGCUAAUUUUAUAUUGUCAAUCUAUAUAAAUUUCAGAUAAUGGUAAUAAAAAUUUUAAAAAUGAUUUAGGUUCAUAAACCUAGAUGGAAGUAUAUUUGCAAUUAAUAAAUUUCAGAUAACGGUAAAAAAAAUUAAAAAUGAUUUAGGACAAAUAGACCUAGAUGAGAGUAUAUUUGCAACUAGACCAUGUGUGCACGUUCUUUUUUUCAAAAAGACUCGAACUUCUAUACAUGGUUUUUCUUUGACUUCCAUGUUUCCACACCGUGAUAUGAUGACGAUUUGUAGCCAGUAAAGAUUUUCAUAUUGCAUAUAUUAUCAUAAUGAAAUGAUCAAUUUAAUAUAUUCCUUUCCUCAAACAUUUAAUUUCUAUCGAAGGAGGUACCAAUUGAACAUGAAACCAAACACUGCCCUAGAAACGAAUAUAAACAUUAAAUGAAUCCUACCAUUAACGAAGUCUGCUAGCUGCAUCAUUGACUUCUUUUUACCGCGCGUGUUUGCACUUUUGCCCUGUAGUAUUGUGAGGGAAGAAUGGCAAUGGAAAUAUCUAUAGCUCGGCAGGGCAGCCAACUAGGUGUGUAGGUUAGAGUUUUAAACUGCAAUAACAAUUUAUGUUGUUCUAAACUUUCUUGUUAACUUACUGCAUAUAUAUUAGCUAGUACAAGUACUCUACAUCAGAGGCCAAUUAGCAACAAAAAUGAUAGAAAUGAAGCUCUUCAUGUAAGUUAUGAAAACUAAUAUACAAAUGACAAAACCAGGCAAAUUGGAAACACGUUUGGACUCUUCGUUCCAAAGACACGUGUCAAACAAAUAAGCAAAGCAAUUAGAUCGGAACAUACAAUCAGUUCCCACUGUGGUUGCUCAGGCAAAGCAUACUAUGAGUCGUUGCUGCCAUAGCUGUUUACCCAUGUCCCAUGUUGCAAUGGAAAAGCUUCAAUUGUUUUUUUUUUCAUUGAACUAUCGCUGGUAUAUAAUUUUGAUCCACCAACUGAAAUGACAACUUCAGCCAUCACUAUUAAAAGCCGGAUAAAACAUCCCUGUCACCCAGUACCUCCUAGUUUUUUAUACAUGUUUGUUGGUCUUCAGGUCGUGGCUACUAAUUAACAAACAGCACAAGAAAACUUAAAUCAAGCACAAGACAGACAGGGAGUCGUAACAUGGUGAACUUGAGAGGCUUGCGGCCGAGGAUAAAGUCCAUCUUGACAUCUACCUUGAAGAAGAAGAUCCUUUGUGCCCAAAUCCUUAACACGUCAUUAUCAGAAGUAAAUUGAUGAACAAAAAUCAAGAUCUUUGUGACAGCGUGGGACCAUGAAGCACAUUGGUGGUAUGAAAAGUAGUUUUUACCAACAUUACUAAUAACCAUAUAUACCUUUUCCAUUAGCAGCAUGAAUCUAAUCUUGGCCAGUGGUCUCAUGAGUGGUAAACUUGGUGCAUUGGUAACAUCAUCUGUAGCGCUAGAGUCAAAAUAACAAUUUGUAUUAAUCCCAUAAGAAGGAACAAUGGCAGACGAGAACCUCUAUGGAUGACUACGCUUCAUUGGUUUUGAACCACCAUCUCGAUGGGGAACAUACCUCUUGUUGAAUCUAUACCAAUGAUCAUGAAUUGUGUAUCUAGUUCUUUUACAUAGUUGACAAACGAGCCCCUCAUCUGAAUCAAAAGAGGCUGAUGCACCUUGUCCACGACCAGAAGGAAUACUGAAGCCACCAUGACUAGAACCAGCACCACGACCACUGUGCCUACGAGGGGCACCACUAAUCCGGCUAGACUGUGUUUAACAUUAUUGACCAAUACGCAAAAUUAAAGACCAUCCAUGGGAUACGAAGAACUGCAUAGAUAGCUCUAGACUCUAGAAGUUGGCAUGUAUCAACUACCCGCUCCCUUCGAUCAUCAAUGUGCUGCAACGUAGCCCAUAACCGAAGCUAAUACGUCACCCUAGAAAGCACCUACAAAAACUUUUUUGUCUACAAUUAUUAAACACAAUAUCAUUUAGCCUUGUGAGCCAAAUUGCCUAGCAGAUAGCUACGGCUCCAGUCAAUAAUAUAAAAUUAUUCUUGUGCCCCAUGUUUAGACCGUUUAUUAAACAGAUGUUCUAAAUUUACUGGUGAUUGUAUAACUAACACAAUGUGAAUUGUACGCCAUAGAAAUGUUGUGCAAUGACAUUCAAUGAAACAGAUGUCAGAUAGUUUCUGGCUUACUACAAAAACAGUAAGCUUUAUUCCCGUUCCAAUUCCACUCUCAUUUUAAGACACCACAUAAAUAUUUUUUACUUUGAGAGGCAUCUUCAUACGCCAAAUUUCUUGCAUAGCUUUAAUUAUGUUAUUGACUAGGUUCCUAUACAUUGAAUUCACUGUGAAUGCCCCCUUCUUAUGCAGAUUCCACGAAAACAAAUUCCUCCCCUCAUUUAGAUUUGUAUGUAAUAAACUGGCAACGAGGCUAUACACCACUUAGUUAACACAAACAAUUGGCAAUGGAAACUGUGUAUACACAUGUUUGUACUGUCGCUUCUUGUACAAACCGAUAUAUAAAUCCAUUUGUACCAUCACUUUCUCACCCACCCUGUAGUAGUAGUCCUUUCCUAUGGGCGCUGAGGUACUACAGAAGGAACUUAUCUGCUAACCGGGUCUGUUGUAGUGCAGGGUAGCAGUAGGGAAGCAACGAUGAGCAAAGCAGCAGCAAAGUUUGCUCGCUUCUUUUUCAUAUUUGUUGUGUUAUGCCUUAAUAAUAAAUAUUUUAGCAGUACAAAUAUUUGUUUCAGGCAUAUUAAUAAUUGUAGGAAAAAAGAUAUAUAAAUAGUGCGAGUAGUAUAUUCAGCUGAAUUUGUUGUUUUAAUGAGGCUAUUGCUGGUUGCUGAAUUCACCGGUUACCCCAAUUUGGAGGAAUACGGUGAAUGGAGUAAUACUAUAAUUUCCACCUAGACGAAAGGGAAGAUUUCUCUCCUCAUGGGGCCAUUGUAACAUUGGCCACUUCUCUACCGACUCAAUAUAUAUCCAUGUGGUUCUGUUUGCCUUUCGUAUCUUUGAUGAAUUGCAUGAUACUUCGUGCUAGACUAAGGGGCUGUUUGAUAUAAGGGGCUGUUUGAUACUAGGAGCUAAAGUUUAGCUCUUGUCACGUCAAAUGUUUGGAUGCUAAUUAAAAGGGCUAAACAUGAGCUAAUUAUAAACUAAUUGCAGAAGUCUUGGGCUAAUUCGCGAGACGAAUCUAUUAAACUUAAUUAAUCCAUCAUUAGCAAAUGGUUAUUGUAGUACUAUAUUCUCAAAUCAUGGACUAAUUAGGCUUAAUAGAUUCGUCUCGCGAAUUAUCCUCCAUCUGUGCAAUUAGUUUUGUAAUUAGCCUAUAUUUAAUACUCCUAAUUAGUAUCCAAACAUCCGAUAUGACAGAGGCUAAAGUGUUUAGCGCCUGGGAGCCAAACAGGCACUAAGGAGUAAAUAAAUCCACUCUUGAUCUCUUCUGCUGGUGUGUGGUAGAGGCUGGAACAAUGCAAAGUCUAGCCUCAUCGAUCAUUAUUCCUCCGUUUUUUUUUUCUUGAGCUAGUCCCCUAUUCGUCCUCUUCUCUUCUUGAGCUUCUAUAGGUGUCACUCUCUGUGAAAUGUAUGUUCUCAUUGACUUCAUCCCAAGAGCGACCCGGCCCUCUUCCUUUUCUUGUUCGGCCUACUUGAUGAAGCAACAUCUUCCUUCAUGAUGAUAUAUAGGAUACCUCUUAGAGUUGAGACUCUUGAGCAUCUGCUCCAUCUCCUCAUGAGUUACUGUACCUCCAGUCAUAUAUGACAUUUUGGACAGCAGAUUAGAACUGCAACCAAACCAAUCGGCUUCCGGAAAUGUCAUUUAAAGUUGAAUACUGGAGGCAGAAUUUUACAUCUUCAUUGGAUAUGGAGGUAUCAUAAUCACCACCAUUCUCUUCUUUACCAUCUUUGUAGACCGUGUCAUGCCAUAAUGAGAGGGGGAAUGAUGAAUUCGGAUUUCUAAAAAAACUUGUUUCUUCACCUGAAUAGGAUGUUUAAUUCUCCAGCACUUCAAUUAUGCUUUGUCUUGCCCUGUCUUAGCGCCAUAGUACCCCAAUCAUAUGCAUGCAUGGUUUCCAUCACCCAUGCAGCCUGUGUAUACACAACAAAUACUAAAGGGAAAAGAAAUGGCAUAUAUAUGAUGUAAUGUAUGUUCGCUGAGAUGAAAACCAUAAUUUAAAGAAUCUAAUACAAGAUUAUAUCUGACCAAGGAAACAGAAAAAUAGAUUCACUCAAUCUGGCUUAUGGGGGGCUAUAACGUUGACAUAUUUCACUCACUUGGGUCAAAGAGAAAUUUAAUGUGGGAAUGUAUAAUCUCCAAUACGAGGUGAGAGAUAUCCUAUGGCAUUAUUACCAUAGGUUAGGGUGCAAACUUUGUGGGAAUGUUAUAUCCAGUAAGAGGUAAAGGAUGUGAUAUGAGAUUAUUACCAUCGGUUAGGGUGCAAACUAACUAGAGCAAAGAGGCUGGACGUGCAGGAGUCCUUGUAUGCAUUUCUUCAUUAAUCUGCUCUAGUGAUGGUGGCUCUACAGUAUAGUUUCCUCGGUAACAUAAUUUUCAGUACUUAAUUUUUCAGUAUUACUAUUACUUUGAGAAUAUCAUACUAACUUCUCAAUCAGCUGCCGACCAUCUUUAGCCCUGCAUCCCAAGUUGGCUCGCUGUCUUGGUCUAUUUGGAGGAGUUUACAAGACCUGUCUAGCCCGUUUAAGGUGUCCCCUGCAUCAAGCAUAUGUUCAACCCCAACUCUCAAGCAAAAAGAAGUUUCCAACAGAAGCUAUGUUUUCUUGCCGGGAGGUGCCCCCACGAUGACACCAGGAUGUGAUAGCACUUAAAAAAUCUGUUAAUCCAUGAUGGUCAAAUUUCGUCACUGAUCACUGAAAAAACGUCAUAAAACAGCAUCUGUGACGAUUUUUAUAACAUCAUGUAUUGAGCGUCACAGAUUAACCUGCGUGACGGUUCUGCAUAAUCAUCGCAGAUCGACCCAAUCCGUGACGUUUCUAAACUGUCAUAAAAUAACCUUAGGCCCGCGCAGCCCAACCUAGGUCUAAAAUUAGUGACGAAAAUAACUAUCAUGGAUUAAAUGGCCAUGUCACCACUAGGCUGACAUGUCUGCUGACAUGGCUGCAAAUGUGGAUGCUGACAUGGCAAUCCAGUUUGCAAAUCCAUUUUGUUGUGAGCUUAGCGCAUUUCUUUUGUCUAGCCAAAUUUUCAACGAUGUUACAUUUGUGUUUUGAGCCGUACUGUUUCUCGGCCCUAAAAUAUUUCUUCCUAAUCUUUACGGCCCAUUAUUUUACAGGCCAAACAACUAUGGCCCAGUUCCAUACUAACCAUAAUAUAAUGCACCAGAAUUACAAUAUAAUAAAGUCACACAAUUCAAUAAUAUUUCUUAAAUUAAUAAACUCUCCAAUACAUUCACACCACCUCCAUGGCAAACGAAAAAUAAUUGUUAUCAGCAAAGCACAGCAUACUAAUCAACUAAGAUUGAUCUAUACUGAAUUCACGUGGGCAUCCUAUUUGCAUAGAAGCUAAAAAGGAAGAACAAACUCUGCCCUAGUACCAAUUAGACAGAUCCUGUACCUGCAAACAAAUCAAGGGCAAUAUGGAGUGAAAUCGAGAACAAAUUUCUGAAUAUUCCAUCAAGUAAACAAAUCUGAACCUGAGAUAAGAACUUGAUGCAUAUCAACUUUACAUGAAAAAUGUUACUUUGACCAGAUCAUGUUGAAAAAGCAGUGCAUAUCCAUGGAAAAUAUGACAAACAAAUGGCAUUAUCAGUGCUCAGUCCCACUGUCCAUGAACUGACCAAACAAUAUAAAUGAAGCUGGGUUAUCACCAUUUAGGAAAAGGUCGCAUACAUCAAAGACUAUUUUACAUCAAAGAACUGCAUGGCUCGUACCUCCUAACUGGUUCGUGAGGACACAGAUCUCCAUGGUAUGCUCCUCGCUCAGCAGGCAGAUCGAUGUAACUGUUAAUGUGAGAAGAGGGUUGCAACAAUUAGUGUGAACGCAAGAGAUUAGUGGGCACAUAUCUAGACUGAAAUAGCUCCAUCAAAGACUGCUAACUUGUAUGACCGUAUGAGGAUUCAAGAUACAAAAGCCAUAUUCUAGGCUGAAAUAUCUGACUCUUACAAUAAAAUAGGCUUUGAAUUCAGUAGUGGCAGUUUGCUAGUAGAAAUCUACAAAUCAAACAGUCCAGGCAACUGUUUUAGUCAUGACAACACUGAGGAAUGAAAGCAGGUCCUAGAAUGGAAGGAUGUAGGUAUUUGUAAACUUGCAAUACUCACGGAAUGGAUCUAAGCAAACAUGGAUGUAUGUGACCAAACUACACGUGCAGUACUCGCAGCAAACAUAUGUGACUAUUCAAAUGAACAGACGAGGUACAAGUAGAGCAUGUGAAACAAGAAGUAACUUUGCCCAGACCUACUUGCUUACUGUUAAUGUUGAAUAGCCUAAGUAAAACUUAACAUAACUACCCUCGUGCCGUCACCACCUCCACGCCUCGAGUGAAGUAUGCGUUUGUAUCAGCAUAUAUUACUGGUGGCCGAGCUCUCUCGUGCCAAGCAUCAUAACUACCCUGUUGUAUGCUGCUCUAGUGAGAGUAUCCCGAUUAGUCAGUGCAUGGGUGGGGAAGCUGCUCAAGCUUCGCUUGUACCCAGUUCGUUAAUUAAUUACCGGACCUAGCCCAUCUAGCUAGCUCUUGCAAGUUGUGUUCUGAUAUUUGCAGCUUUUUCUCUGGCCAGGCUGACCUUUGCAGCUGAAACUUGAAACCUAUCUGGAGACCGGUUUCAUGAGAAUUCCCAUUAUGUCACCUGCUAUGUACCAAACCUUAUUUCAUGGCCAUCCAUAUCAGUGACAGCUACAAAACCUACCAAUAAGAGAAAUGACCAAUUCUUGCAGACCUAGUUAGGAGUUCUUGGUCGUCCACCAAUAGUUAGUAUGCUCUCGUGUUUAUGUGACUAUGUGAGCUUGGAUGUGGUCGUGGGCAUUGCGUUGUCUUUGUUGUCUACUCUAAUUCACGUCUAAUUCACGUGUUUGUGUGGGUAUUUUCAAUUCGGUUUUGGUUUAUACCCCUUGGGGUAUUUUACUUGGGCCGAUAUCUUCUUUGGUUUCUCUAACACAAUAACACACGGCUCUCCAGUCUCCGGUGUGUUCGAGAAAAAAGAGGGGAGAAGGUCGACCAGAUGAGAACUAUGAAUGAGAAGUCAGAAGUAAAACAAAUUGUAUUAAACGAACUUAAUUAGUGCAGCAGCUCAUGACUGGCCGACUUGGGUUAACAGUAAAAGUUGCAUUGGUAAUUUUUAAUAGACCCCGACUUGUUAACUGCAGUCUAUGUAUUGAUAAAGAAGUUGAAAUACAAAACAGAAAAACAUCAUCACUCGUCUACGUACACGACUAAAGCAACCACAAUAAUAAAACCACCAGCAAGUCCACGAGGCAUGCAACCAAGGGGCUACCUUGUCUGAGAGUUUUACCUGUGUGCCAUUAUGAAAGUUGGGUCUAACUUCCAUACCCCUAAAAAGUUCGUCGACACCUGUAUGCCUAAGUGCAACUUGGUUUGUCCCUCCAUGCUAUUCCGUCCAUAUUUUCUGCUAACGGUGGUUAACUGCGCUGAGAAUGGACUCAAAUGCCCUUAGGCAAAGGAGGUCUGUUGAACUUAGUUGUUUGCCUCGGUGCCACUCAGAGGUCUGUUGUUUUGGUGCCAAAGGAGGCAGUGGUGUUGGCGCCAAAAGGCAGUGGUGUUGGCGCCAAACCCUCUGUGCUCCUCUAUAUAUACAUCUUGAGCCAUAUCUGUUGGAUCUCAUCAUCUCCUCUGCUCUCUCCUUCAUUCUCACUCUCAUCCACUCCUGGCGCACCCCAUGUCUGAAGCUUCGAGCAGCUAUGGGGGGAGGGUCAAGCGGGUCCUUUGCCCGAACUGUCAUGUGCUUGCCAACCGAUUCAUCUCCACGACAACAAAGAACCCAAACCGUGCAUUUCACAAGUGCCCCUAUUUUGCAGUUUGUGUUCUCUACUCAUUCUUGGUUGGCCUAUUUUGUUUGUUUUCCAAGUGCUAAUGCUUCAGUUUCUUUGGCUUGCAGUUUGGUGGUUGUCAAUACUACCAGUGGGAGGAUGAAAUGAUGGACAGUGGCAUGCAGUCACCUACAGCGCUAGAUCCCCUACAGGCAGUUCCCCUGCAGGCAGUGGCACCACCUGAUCCACUGUCCAUGUACCAGCAUGGUUCCAAUGGUGCUGGAGUGGUAGGCAAUGCAUUAGUGGAAAAUAGGGGAGACAAUAGGGUUAUGCAACAGCUUAGGUGGCUAGAAAAGAUGGUAUAUAUAUGCAUUUUCCUUGCUCUGUAUGCUAUUAUGAAGAAGUAGGGUUAUGCAGCAGCUUGUGUUUGUAUGAAUUGACAAGAUGUAUGGAUGGAUGCAUGAAUGAAUCAGCUAAGGUUUUAUCACAUUUCAUCAUGUCUACAACAUUAAUGACACAAAAGAUAGUACAUGACAUCCAGGUUUAAUCACAUUACAACCAAGGUUCAAAUAGUACAUGACAUGCCAUCACUGAGUAAUAGUAUCAGUUCCAUCCACCAAAACAUCCAGUUUUCAUCACAUCCAAAGUGCUGGACAUGGCAUCAUAGAGAAAAAUAAACAAAGAAGGGCUGGAUGGGGUACCUUUCACUGCAGGUGCAGUUUCUUCUUGCUCCUUGUAUUAGAAGAAGGGCUGGAUGGGGUAGCUUGGCUGGCUGCUGCAACUUGAAGCCUCUUUGGUGUCAGCUUCUUCUUAACUGUUGUCUUCUUCCUUGGUGUAGCAGCCUUGAUAAGGAGAGUGUCCACUAGGUCUGUUUGUACUGUGCCAACUGAGGUCUCAUGAUAAGGAGCCAGGAAAACAGUCUGCAAUGGUAUUGGGUCAUUGGAACCAGUUCCAAACCUUGUGACAAAUAUGACAGGUUAGAUGAUAACAAAUGGUGCAUGAAAAUAACAAGAGAAUUGCUCAUAAGCUCAUCUGGUUGAUGUACUUGUAGUUGUAGCUGAAGAAGAAGAAGGUGGCUUCCUACUUAUUUUCUUGGCACCAGAAGAAGAAGGUGGCUUCCUACUCCUUUUCUUGGCUGCUGCUAUGUCUACAGCCUCAAUUAUUGGGAAUUGCAUCACUGAUGGAGUAGCAACCACAAUGCUUGUCUCUGUGUUACAGCUUGCUACUUUUUUCAGUCUUUUCUUUGGGAGACCCCUGCAUAGGACAACUCAAUAUAAGUUUCAAAACAAUGUGAAUGUACACUGAUUUCAGUUAAGGUAUUAUACCUUUGAGCCUCCAUUGCAGCGAUGUCUUCAGGAUUGCCAUUCUUGCAAGUAUACCAAUGGUGCCCUUUUUCAUGGCAUAUUGGGCACUCAUGUUUCCUUGAGCUUCCCUUCUGGCUGCUGCUACCACCUUCAAGUGCUGAUUUCAUCCUAUUCUUUCUUCUUCCUCCAGCUGUUGCCCUAAGUAAUGGAGUGUGCAUGAAGAAGCCAUGGGUGUUGUUGGGCCACAUACUCUUGUCAGGAAUGCAAGGGAUGGAACCUUCAUAUGCAAUUUUGAAUUUGUCGACAGAAUAGUAAUCAUGCACAUAGUCUUCUAGUUUAGCACCAGGGAUUGAAGUGAUGUAGGCAAUAGCAUGUUUGCAAGGGAUUCCUGACCCUUGCCAAACCCUACAGGUGUAGGUUCUCUCAGGUAAAUUGACCACAAAUCUAUAUACACUGCCACCCUUAGCAGAAAUCUCUGCCACACCAUCAGGGGAAUCAGUGAUGACUUCAAUGUCAAGAUUGUAACUGUCUUCCCUCAGUUUCUUCUCAAUGUGAGGCAGAAUCUUCCCUGUGAAUUUCAUGGCAACUCUCUUCCUAUGAUUCCAUUUAAUCAAGAGCUUCUGUCUUAUAGUGUCCAGUAAAUCAUCAAUAUUCUUCCCCUUUUCAGGCUUUAUCCAAUUGUUGAAUGAUUCAGCUAGAUUGUUGGUGACAUAGUCCACCUUUGAUCCUGUCUUGUACUGGCUCCUUGUCCAAAGCUUCUUGUGGUUUUCAUGUAGAUAGACCAUUGCCUCAGGUUUGGCUUGAGCCAUAGCUGUAUAAUGCUUGUUGAACAAAUAUGGGCUCCAUGAAUAUGAGGCAGCCCAUAAGUGGUCAUCAAAAACCUUGCCACUGAAUCUUUUCUUGAAAUUUUGUACUAAGUGGUACAUACACUCCCUAUGUUCAGCUUCAGGGAAAACUUCAGUUACCCCAUUCAUCACUGCUUGGCCACAGUCUGUACAGAAGGUCAGUCCAUCUGGGGAUCCAAAUACUUCUUUUAACCUCUCCAUGAACCACACCCAAUUCUCAUUAGUCUCUGAAUCAAUUACACCAAUAGCUACUGGGUACAUCCAGUUAUGUCCAUCUACUGCACAAGCUACACACAACUAUCCUCUGAACCUUCCAUUUAAAAAAGUGUUAUCUACUGCAAGAUAUGGUCUAAAGCCUCUAAGAAAUCCAUCUACACAUGCUUUCAAUGCAAAGAAUAGCCUAUUAAACCUGAUCUUAUUGUUGAUUGUGUGAUGAUCAAUGAUAACAAAUGACCCAGGACUAGAUUCCUCUAUCUGGGCCUUAAACCUAAACAAAUUGUCAAAACUUUUAUCCCAAGGCCCAUAAAUCUGAUCCAUGGCAAGAUUUUUACCUUUGUACACUCUCCUGUAUGGCACAUUAACUUUGUACUCAUUCUUCAAUCUUCUAAUCAAUUCUUUUAUCCGAAUGUUGCCAUCUUCCUUCAACCAGUCUACCACUUUACUGCAGACCUAGUCCUGUGUGAUACCUACACACACACCAACCCUCUUAGCACUUUGACAAUCAUGAGGAUGUGGGUUCCUUUUCACCUGCAAAACAGUCAACACCAAUGCUUAUUAACAACUGAUGAUUCAUUGCAAAACAACUGGAAUUUACAAAAAGUAAAGCAACUCAUGUACCUUAACUGUCACACCAUCCUUCAGAGUUGAAGCAUGAAUCCUCCAUUGGCAAUCAAGCUCCUCCUUGAAUUUGCAGUGCACCCUAUACCUCCCUGGAUCACUCUUCUCAACUAAGUAAUGGUACUCAUGCUUAGCAGAAUGAGAAGCUAAAGCAAUCUUAAAUGCUUUCAUGUUUGAAUACAAAGUGCCUACAUCCAUAGGUGGGUUCUUCUUGUCAUAAUUGACAUCAGGCAUAGGUUCAGGGCCUCUAUCUAUUACCAUCUCAUCAUCAGACUCAUCAUCAGAACUCUCAUCUGACUCAGAGCAGAUUUCAUCCUCAGAACUCUCAGCUUCCCUUCCUUUAUUGCCAGCUUUAGGAUUUGGGGGAGGUGGAGGGUAGUUGGGACCAAGGUCAAGAUAUAGCCCUUCAUCGUCAACGCCCACAUGCUCAUACAUUGGGUUUGGGUUAGCUAAGAUUUCAGGUUCAUCAUAUUGUGUGUGUACUGUUGCUUGCUUCACCUAGGAUUGGGGAUGCAAUAGAAGGGGUCACUGGGGGAUCAACAGAUUUCUCACUACUACCAAACUCCCAAACUGGAAUGAUAGGAGGAUCAACACUUGGCUUAUGAUAUGCAAAAGUGAGGAAGCAGCAUUUCGAAACCUUAUGUUUUUCAAACAUUGCAAGCAAAUCUUGGUCAGUACAGACUUGGAUGUUGACCUUAGUGUCCAUGCAGUAAUAAAAAACUUUAACUACGUCUCCAUAGCCAUGAGGAUUCUUGUCAACAACUUCAGCAACCAGGGAUCUGAAGUUAGUUCGGUCAGCAUCAACAACUUUGCUCAGCUCGUACCACCGAGUCCGACAAUUGUGAGCAACAAUCCGGAUUUCUAAGUUGUAGCUACUGUUGGGGUCCAUCCUACAUAUGAACAAGGAGCAGGGAAUCAACACUACAAGCAUGGUGACGGUGCACAGGCGCAGGGCUAAGGGACCUAAGACCACGCAAGCGAGAGUACUUCGCAAGCCAAGGGGGGAAGCAACCAUUUGACUUACCCGUCUGGAAGCCAAUCCGGUCGAUCCCCGACGCCGUUGUUCUCCGCCAUGAGAAGCCGUGUCAAUCCACUAAUCCAUGCACGGGGGCUUCAUCUUCUUCUCCAGAACGCCUUCUUCUCUCCCCGCCCCACCCGUCAACGCCGCCACUGACUAGGGUUCCACCGCCGCCGCUACGAUUUCGCCGCCGCCGCUAGGGUUCGGCAACGGAUAGAGUGGGAGGAGAGUGAGAGAUGCCGGUCAAAAUUGGUCAACACGGCCUCCGCGCAUAUGCCUUAGAGACUAAGGAGACUAAGGGUACACUGGACAUUUUUGCUGCCCGGGCCCGCUUGUAAGAGCUCUCAAACGGCCAAAACCGAACGGAAUAGGGACGGAAUGGCAUGGAGGGAUAAAUCAAAUUGCACUUGGGCAUACAGGUGUCGACGAACUUUUUAGGGGCAUGGAGGUUAGACCUAACUUUCAUAAUGGCACACAGGUAAACUCUCACCUUGUCUAUGGCAGCAACAACAAACAGGGGGAGGAGGUUCACACAGCGAAGCCUCCAGGGAAGAUAUACAAUGUCCGCAGACACUACCAAUGCCAAUACAAAAAUCCGGUAAAGUUUUUCAAUCCCCUGCCCCACGAGGGAUGCGGAUCAAAGAUGUCACCGUUGUCAUCAUCAGAGCUUAUUAGAAGAUCCUUCUCCCAAACAAACAAUUCAUAUGGAAUUAUAAAUGUCUAGAAUAGUUCACAUGAUCACAUCUACUAGCGGCAUGUGACCUCAGGUUGAAGAGCACAUCUAUUGUUGCUUCAUUGAUCUGGAAGCAUUGGAUCUGCAUAACUAAUCAUGUCCUCUCUUCUCAGCGCAGCACUCAGGGCACUCAAAGUUCUUUAUGAGCUCUUCUUGACCAACCUUUACCUUCACACAUUUCCCAUGGGACCAGCACUUACACAGGGUACAACGGACCCAGAAUCCUUUUGCAAGGUAGCGAUCACCACAGCUUGCGCAAAAAGUUGGAUACGGACCACAACCUUCGUCCUCAUCCUUAGUUUCAUCAAUCUGUUCACCAAAUGAAAAUGACCAACAUCACUUUGAGUAAGAAAAUUGAAACUCAAGUUUGUGUAAUACUCGAGCAUGGACAACACAAUUUACAGAUUCUUAGCUUUCAACAGAAGCAACUUACCAUGUUUUCCAGAUGACAUAAGCGGCGAUAGGUCUCACUAGCAAUGAAUGUUUCCUGAACAGUUGGUAGCGAGCUAAUCAUAGUGAAUAAGCGCUGUCUGUUAAACAAAAAGAUCAAAUUAUGUAUUUAGAAACAAGGAUAUUAUUCAUGAUGGACAUAUGGAAUUGAAACAAAUAGCUGCUCACAACGUCCACAUGCACAUACAAUCAACCAUAUAAACCAAUAGCUACAUAACACUGUCAUGAUACAAAUUUAUAUAAAUGCAAAAGGUGACUAAACUACAAAUAUAUCUGCACAUACAAUGAACUGAUUUAAGUGCUUGACAGAAACUACCUAGCUACAUUAAUUAGGUAAAAUAAUCCGCGUGAUUUUUCAGAAACUUUACAUGCCACUACAUUCUUCUAGCUUUCUAACUCUUCUCAUGUAUCCUCUAUGUGAUGCAUUAGAUAACAAAUAUCAAUACUAAUAUGUGAUGCAUAUAGCUAGAUAAUGAUUAAAGUAACACGAAAUACCGUUCUCUAGCUUCCAAAUUUCCUGCAAGGAAGAAGGAGAUACGUAUGAGCCAUGCGUCAGAGUGCUCGGAGAUGUGCUGAAGCCACUUUAGGCGUCGCAUCUUAUCCCUCACCAGGUUGAUGCCGAGCUUUGGUUCAGGCUGCCCUGAUGAUGGCGCAAACAACUUCGGGGGCAGCACCUCCCAGUUCCCAUCAGUGUUGCCGUACAGGCAAAGGGACUCCAUACCUAUGUGCAGAAGAGAAAAUUUACAAAUACAUCCAAAACAACUGGUUACACCAAGAACUCGAGAAUUAAGAAAAUCUUGUGCGUUCGGUAUGAUUUUGGUCUCAACAAGCUACUCACGUGGGUUGCACUUCCGAAAUAACACCUUCUCAUCUGCAAGAUACACAAGGCCAGUGUUAAUAGUGUCAGAGGUUAACAAACAUAAGGUUACACAAUAAUAAUGAUUUAGAUCCAACAUAUGAAAUGAGUAAAGGGAAAUACUAAACUAAGCUCGAACAUUUUCACAGUGAAACUGUAAGAAAUCCAACCAAAUUAUCAUUGGAUAUGUCAUUGAGCUGCUAUGCGUGCAGUGGUGGACAAAACUGGCAAGCCUCAACACAAUAUAUUCUGGAUUGGUACGGUAGACCAUGUAAUGCAUGGCGGCCAAGAGGACACUGUAUAUACUUUCAACCAGCAACAACGAGAAAGAGGAGCUAUGGCUCAUGCGAAGCUAGAACCUUUUGCUGGUAUAUAUUCUCCCUGCAGAUGCUCCUCACAUCACUGGUGGGACAAGAUAGAAGCUCUCUGGAUGCGUUGGAUACAUGCGUAGUACUACCUCACAGGUGCUCACGCGGCCUGGAGCUAGCCCUCGCACCUCCACCAGGAUCAACGACAGGAAUGAACUCUAUUGGUCUACUCCAGGAUGCUCACCUCACCCAUUGCACGCACACAGGCACACUGACAAGCUAGCACGCGCAACCCUAGCAACCGAGUACACACUGACAAGCUAGCACGUACGCACAGCCCUCAACCUGAAUCGCGAAACUAACGUACCUUGCGUCACGGCGCGGAUGAGGGCAGCACGGCGGAUGGUGAAAUCCCGGAAGGUCCUCUCCACGGUGCCGCUGUACCGCGGCCUCGAAAUGGCCGGCGGCGGCACUGGCGCCGCAGGGGGCGGCGUCGCUUCCAUUUCCAUGGGCGCCGCCGUGUCUUGCUGGCCGCGGAGGGGUUGGGCUGCCUGCGGCGAGGAGGAAUCGGCGGCGGAUGGAUGCACAUCCAUGGCACGGCUGCGGAGCGAGAGAGAGGAUUUGGUCGGUGGAACGGAGAGGAGAACUGAGUGAGGGUUGGGGCUGGGGAUUGGAUCUGAGUUGCGGCGUCAGGGGUUGGUGUGGGGCCCGUGGGGUAGGUAGGGUUUUGGGGAUUGCUCUGAGGCUCUGACAACCUCGGUCGCCGCACACCGCUGCCUGAGCCGCGCGUCCAGCUGAGCCCACGGAGAGGCCGCGCGCGUGCCCUGGCCCACGGCGUCAGUCUCUCCCUCUCUGUCUCUGUCACCACAGGAAGCAUUCAGGAACUUCACCAUCCGCCGUGCAGCCUUCAUCCGUGCCGAUUGAAUUGUUGUUAAUUGCUACUACUUGCUCUCUCUAUUUUCUUCUUCUCUUGUCUCCCAGGAACUUGUGCGUUCAGGUUCUAAUAAGUUUUGACUUCAUGUGAACAGCAAUUAUAUGAAGAAACAUCACGGGCUUUAUUUUAUGCACUUAGACAACAGAGUAUGGAUAUUUUGAUGUGCGUAAUUGAUUUAAGUAUAAUCCUUUCCUUGGCUGCCUUCACGUUCUGAAAAAAUAGAACUUUGUCAUAAACAUGAUAAGAAAUAACAUGGUAUACCAAACACCGAAUGACUGUUUAUCUGUUUGGUCACAUUCCUGAAAUUUUGUUUCUUCUUAAGAGUUUAAGAAGGAAAUGUUGAAACUCACUACCCUAGUUCUUUUUUGUUAGUUAUUUACAGUCUCUACAAGGAUUUGUAGUAUAAUUGUGCUUUUCUUUACUUGUGCAAAUGUAUACAUUAAACACUACGAUCUCGGCUUUCUCGGCCCAAGGAGGCAUUAUGCUUGUGAACAAACUUAUUUUCUCUCUUAGCUCAAAGGCAGAUGAGAUCCUGCCACUCACCUUAAAGAAAACAAAUGUACAUACAUAAAACUGCGAUAUUGGAAAAAUCUCAUGUUAACUGUUGUCCCUGAAAAUCUUGGGCUUUUGCACUAUCUAAUGGUAGUCUUGUAUGUUCAUGCAGAUGAUUCUUUCACAAAUGUGAGCCAGGUGAGUGCUCUGUGGGAUUAAUCUCAGUUUCCUGCUCAAUGAAAUGACGCGACGACCAAACUAAGUGAGUGGGCGCAUCUUUCGUUGUAUUCUGUGUGUAGUUAUGACGCUCCUGUUCCUGCAUGGCAACACGGACAUGAGCUGGAAUGUGAAGCGCCACCUGAGCAGUCUGAGCCAGCACUCAGGCAUCAACACAUCGAGGGACAAUUGCAAUGGCAUCGAAUGGCUCCAAGAAGCAGCUAUGCACUGCGAGGCAUAUGGCUUAUCAACAUUUCCUUCUACUUUCGUUUACAUUUGACAACUAAAGAACGGUAAUAAAUUAUUUUCCCUCAAUAAAUAUGUACCUCGCGUCAGGCAAGAAUCGGUUCAUUAGAAGAAAUUUAGUGACAGCUAGAAGGUUUUUCGAAAAGCCUGUAUGAGUUUAACUCAUUGUAUUUUCUCUCCAGUCACAAAACAAGUGACAUUUUUGUUUAAUUUGUUUAAGUCAUCAACAGUUUCAAACUUAUUUGCCUAUAAACUACCAUUAUGCACAUGUUAAAUUCAUAUAUGAAGAUGGUGCAAGUAGAUUUGUUUCAAAUGUAGAUUCAUAAAAGCAUAAUUUCACUAUGUUUUACAAAUAUUUUGUAAUAAAAAGUACUAGUCAAUAUCUUUGGAGUACGUAGGGAGAUAAUGCAGAUUAUAUUAUUAAUAAAAAAAAGGUUCCACCAUAUUCAUCUAUUCUUGUUUAAGGGGGCGUUUGGUUCCCUUUGCUUAUUUUUAAGCAAGUGUCACAUCAAUGUUUAGAUACUAAUUAGGAUUAUUAAACGUAGGCUAUUUACAAAACCCAUUACAUAAGUGGAGGCUAAACAGCGAGACGAACCUAUUAAGCCUAAUUAAUCCAUCAUUAACAAAUGUUUACUGUAGCAACACAUUGUCAAAUCAUGGACUAAUUAGGUUUAAUAGAUUCGUUUCGCCGUUUAGCCUCCACUUAUGUAAUGGAUUUUGUAAAUAGUCUACGUUUAAUACUCCUAAUUAGUAUCUAAACAUUCAAUGUGAUGGGUGCUUAAAAAUAAGCAAACUAACCAAACCAGGGCUAAGUUUGUGGUUAGUUAGAUUUCAUAUACCAUGUUAAACAAAAAAGGAAAGUCCAUUUUUAACCAUCGAACUAUUGCUCGAGUUUGGUUUUGGCCAUAAAACUGAAAACUAGGAAUCUUAGACCAUCCAACUAACAAAAACCGUUCAUAUUUGACAAUUAGAAUGUUUUAGUUGGUGGUUUAAUUUUGCUGAUGCGGAAGACGUGUGGCAGUGGGACCUACAUGUCUGCUCUAUCUUCUUCAUCUCUUCUCCCUCACCCCCCCCCCCCUCCUCCAAGCUGUCCCAGGUGGCAGGCGGCCACUACAUCAUUCGCCGCCGGGUGGUGGGAGAGGUCAACAGCGACGGUGGCACCCGAAUCUCUCCCCAACCUGCGGCGCCUGAGCUCCAUGUGGCAGUAGGUAUCGAGCUCGUUGGUAUGGUGGUAGAUGAGGUGAGCCUGGUGUUUGAGUUUCAUAGUCAAAACCAAGUAAACUAGCAUACCAGUACCUAGCUAUCAUUUUUCGGCUGGUAUUUGGACCCAGCUUCAAGUAUCAUUAAAAUCUGGCUCGAUUUCAAAAAUUCCGGCUGAAAUUUCAGCUGAAAAGCAAUAUACCGGUCCUACCGGCCACCUCCGGUAUUUUUCCUUACUCCAGUGACUUGAACACUGCUCCGUGUGCGAAGUCCUAAGGCCUAACUUUCCGGUUGGGAAGGGGAGAUACGAGCGAAGGCCUACUAUGUAGUGGGGGUUCGCCUUUUUGUAAGCCUGCUUCUGCCUAUUCUGACAAUUGGAGAAAUCCGACGCACUCCGUAUAAUGAGAUUGUCUUGAGCAUGAGGUAAAGAACAAGUUAGAAGAUCCCUAGAACCUAAAGAGUAAGCAGUCCGCAUGGUAUGUAGUGCUCUUCUUCUGAUAUAGUAUAAAUUUGUUCCGAAUGUCUCCCUUGGGUGAGGAAGCUAGGAUGCAACAUUUUGUUCGAGUGGGGGGAAAAAGAACACUCCGUCCACUGUAGAUUCUCGGUUUUGCAGCAGCCGAAUCAUCUAUUCUUUGCUGCGAACUGGCACUAAUAUAAUUUUUUAUUGUUUAUUUAUAAUGGUUUUGUACUCGAUCGGAAAGAGGAAAACGAUUUUGAUCCCAAUCCUCCUAUCCUCAGCACUGUGGCUCCCGUUUUAAACAGAUUAAUUUUAGCUCCCUUUUUUGGUGUUUCGAGAUACUAACAUACUUUUCUCUGUUACUAUUUCGACUCGGCAUUUUUGUCAAACCACCAUCGCUUUGGGAGGAAUAUGUGAAGGACCGCCCGUAGGAGGUUUAGUGCACAAGGCCCCUGCAGAGGAAAAGCUUGAUCCCAGCGAAUAGAAGAUGCUCAGCUCCGCACAACUAUCAAUGAAAGAUCAGCAAGAGAAGAAAGGACCACGCCCCGAGGUGGCUCCCUUCCUAGCGGUGUUUGAGCGUAGCGACGUAGACAGGUUCUUUCCCAGGAGGUGACCACAUCAGGAUUAGCCUAGCCGGUAAGAAUGGAAGAGGAUUUUUGGUAUCACAUUCGUACUGACUUAACAUGAUCUGUCUCCCAGAAAUCUCAUGACGAUGCGAUAGUUCUUGUCCUGAAAAUAGGAGGGAACGGAGUCAAACGUGUUUCGGGUGAUACAGGAAGUUUGGUGGAAUAACCCGCUUUGCAAAUUUCUUUUUCAAGUGCUAAAACGAUGACGUACUGCAGUACCUAUCAAGUUAAUCACCGAGGAUUGCAUAUAAUCACUACCGGAAAUAGUAGGUUGGCCGUGUGUCCACGGCACACGGCGAAGCUCUAAAAACACUCGGCAAAGGCGACAAACAGCACACGGCAUACACAGUGCCGGCAAAAGUUUCUUUGCCGAGUGUGUUUUUUAUCGGGCACUCGGCAAAAACUUUCCCGAGUGCUAAAACCGACGCUCGGCCAAAAAAAAAAAAAGCAACAUGACGGUGCGAAGACAGUCACAGCGUGUUUGCCGAGUGUCUAACAGCAGCACAGGCACUCCGCAAACAUGCCUUGUUUGCCAAGUGUCCACGGAAAAAAAAAAACCUCGGCAAACAAGGCCACUUGGCCGAGUGUCACAGCUAUGACACUCGGCAAAGACUAGCCCCAAAAUGUAUAGAUUUUGGCCUCUUUGCCGAGUGUCACGACACAGACACUCAGCAAAGAUGGCCAUUUUAGUCCUAGAAUGUACAGAUUUUUGUCACAUGUCCUCUUUGCCGAGUGUAUUUUGCAUGGCACUUGGCAAAUAGGCCUUUUACUGAGUGUAACACUCGGCAAAGCUGCCACAUAUAAGAAGUUUAUUUGGUUCCGUCACAGCCAUGUACCACAUUCAAAUAAACAUCACAUCCAUUACAGAUAGUUCACAAUAGGCAUCACAAGCAGUUCAUAUAGAUAUAUCGACCACAUCACAAAUGCAAAUGAACUUCAUAAUCACAAAUAUAUGCAAAUAAACUUUAGAAUCACAAGUACAUAGUUCACAGUCACUCUCCAGGCUCAUCAUAAAUGCAAAUAAAUGGAGGCACUGUGACCACGGUGGCCACUGUGACCACGGUUGCUCUCCAGGCUCAUUCGAUGCCGCUGAUUGAUUCUGUACAAAGGAGAAGAGAUAAAUCAUUUAGAGUGAUUGAGAUCGAAACAUAAAAGUAUUAGAAAUAAACUAGCAACUAGAAAUAGUGAUUAAUUCUAUGGAAACUACGAGUAGCUAAGUUAUAGUGAUUAAGAACGAAACAGUGAUUACAAGGUUAAACUACAAACUAGAAAUAAACUAGAAAUUAGAAACUAGAAACAUACACACAUCACAAAGAAGAAAAGAUUGAUUCUGCAUAAACUAGAAAUGGUGAUUAUAAGGUUGUGAAGUGACUCACAGUGCCGGGUCGAGUAUUUGUAGCAGGUUGAGGAGGAGGGACUCGCAUUGCUGGCGGAGGUUGACCGAUUGCAGCAUAAACACCCCUCAUUAUUUCAAACAUCUGCAGUCACUCUGCCUCCAUCCUCUGCCGCUCGGCCUACAACCUCUGCUCGAUGGAUGCCUCUAGCUCCUCCCGUCGCCUCCUUUCUUGUUCCAGCUGGGCCUACAAUAUUUCAUCCCAAUGUUACAAUGCAAUGCAAAAGUAUGUAAAAAUCAAUGAACGAUGAAUAAAAUAGAAAUAACCUGGAGUUCGUCCAUCUAGAACCAUGUAGAGUCUGGCCGAGGGCGUAUUGUCGGGCUGGAAUUAGUGCUCUAUGCUCGAAGCUGAGAGAGAGAGAGGGAGUAUAGGCCAUAUCGGGUGUGCGUCGCCAAUCCAGAACCGGCCAUGCUUCUUGCCUUCUCCCGCCCUCAUGACCACUUCUCCAUCAAGGUCAUGUGCACUCGGAUCAUAAUCUGUACCAUGGACCACCCUUGCCAUCGAUGUGUAUCCAUCGAGGUGACUGUGGACGGUCUCGUUGCUAUACGCCGAGGGCGGGUCAUCCGGGUUGUAGGCGAUGCCGGCCGUCACCUUGCCCUUGUGGGCCAAAGCAUAAGCCUUGAACUGGGAGCAAAGCUCACCACCAUUUGCUGUUGACUGCAAACAAAAAGCAAUAUGAUUAGAAAUUUUGCAGAUAUGAGUGUUAGAAUAAAGAAAUGCAUUUGCGUACCCAUCUAGCCGUGUAUCCUAAGAGGCUGAGGUUGCCUUGAUGGUGUGGUGGACCUCUCAUCAUCAAAUGCCGCUCCCGGCAAGCAUUGUGAUGCUCCUCCCAUGCGGGGUCGCACCACUUGUCCACGAUCCGGGCCCAACACUGCAGAUCGUGGGCGCACCACCACGGAGGCACCUACGUCAUCAAGUAUAUGACAUAUAAGAAGAUGAAAUGAAGCAUAAUUAAUCUCAAACAUAAUAAGUAUUAAUGUUCUAUAUUUACCUGUAGGUAUUGUUCUUGGGUUAGCUUCAUGGUUCUAGCGUCCCUUUUAGUGACCCUUUCUCCAAGGUGUUCCACGUGGAAUUGGAUCACGGCCUGGACACACGCCUCAUAGUGCUUCAUGAAAGUCAUUUAACAUGUAUCCUACCUCGGCAUCAUAAUCCUCGAUGCGUUGUCUCACGACCUCGUCUCUCGCACGAUCAGAUUCACCAUGGUAGAUUCCACUGGGUAUAGUUUGCCAUAAAUCCAUUCUUGCAAAGAUGUUGACCCAUGACCUCAUUUGUUUGUCGACGCGAGUUUGCACAAAUACUGCAGGGACAUCAAGUGACACGUGGUCCUUUAACCCUUGCAAAUGCUAGUUCCAAGAAAGUAUCGAUCUUCUGAAUCCAUUCAUUGAUCCACGAACCCUGACGAGAGCGGCCCGUGUACAUCGACUCACGUUCAUGCACCUCUAACAUAUUAGCAAGUAAUAUAAAAAUCAAUUGCAUCUAAAAGUUCCUAUACUGUCUAUUAGGUGAAGAUAGGUCCUAAUCCCACCUGAGAAUUUGUAGAUAGGGGUUAGUUUCCAUGCUCUACUCCUAUCCGAGAUAGAAUUUUGGUAGCACCUCCCCGCUGCUCUCCAAAUACACGUCCUGACAAAUACAAGUAGGGAGAAUGUGUACCUAGAGAACAACAGGGAGAUGCUGCUGAAAAUUUGUCUUGAAUCAGAGUAGAGCAUGGAAAGUAACCCCAUCUACACAUCCUCGGGCUGUCCAAAAAACGUGGACAAUUCGAAAUAUAUACGGUUAUAGAUAUGCAAAGAUCUGCAUAUUUCCAACCGUAUCUCUUUCGAACAGGAGACGCCUAGCUAGGUUACAUGAUAUACAAACAUCCUAUAUUUCACAUCAUAUGGAAAGAGGGGUAUAGGAUGCCUCACCUUGCUGUAGGGCAAAGUGACGAGUCUAGGAUGGUGGGGAAUGAUGUUUGCAAUAGCCUCUCUUGCAACAAAGGAAAAUAAUAGUGUCAAUUAUAAAUUUUGGCAGCACUUCCCUUGCACAGUGAGGUAACCACAACAUGCAAAAAAUCAAAGGCACGAUGGCCGACAACAACAUACAUGGCUUAUACACAACAUACACAACAUACAUGGCACGGACCAGCGGACGGCGGUGGGAGGACGCAGUGAACGGCAGCGGGAGGGCGGGGCGGGCCGACGGGGCAGGAGGAUAGUGGCGGGAUGGCGGGGCAAGGAGCGGCGGAUGGUGGCUGACAACGGUGGCAGGAUGGGGUGGACGGCGGCGGGACAGUGGGAGGGCGCAGCGAACGGCGGCAGGGCGGAGGAUGGCCGAUGGCGCGGGCGUGGGGUGGAGGACGGCCGGCGACGGCGGGUGCGGGGCGGUGGCAGGUGCAGCGUGGGAGGGAGGUGGCGGCGGGGCGUGAGCGUGGCACAGUGGCGGCGAUGGGCACGGCGCGGGAGCGAGGUGAUGGCAGGUGCGGGUGAGGAGCGUAGGGCGUCGGGUACGGGUGUGGGUGAGUGGCGGCGGUUGAAGAAAACGCUAAGGACUAUAUACCUAAUAACAUGGUUUGUUGAGUGUCAGAUCGCUGCACUCGGCAAACCACAGCUUUGCUGAGUGUCAGAUCACGGCACUCGGCAAACCCAUCUUUGCCGAGUGCCCCAAACUCUAGACACUCAGCAAAUAUACUAAUUAUUAUUUCAUUUCCUUCUUUUCCAUAACGUAUUUUCUUUUUUUUGAUGUACAUUAAAAAUACCUUCAAAUUGACUCAACAAUAUAUAUAUAUAUAUAUGAUUUUUCUACGAAUAUUAUUCCAUUAUUUUAUGCAGUUACAGCUCAAAUUUAAUUUAUAUCAAUUAAAAUUCUAUAAUUGCACUUAAUAAAUUAAAAUUAUCAAAUGGAUCCAAAAGAUUACCAAAAUUUCACAUGAAACAAUCUAUGUUCUUUAUUGCCUAUACAAAAAGUUUUCAAGUCAAACCCUAAUUCGACCGUCACUUUGACUCCAAAUCUUACCGAGAUGCUUUGGUUUCCAUAAGUGUUUCAAUCUAUGUUCUCGACGCUACGAUUCUUCUUCUGAGAUGCUUUAGUUUGUAAACAUCGUGUGUGACAAAUUGUGUGAAACCUUCUUAAUUUUUUACCACAUCUUCCAUGUAUGAUAUUAUCACAUCAUGACAAAUCUCAUGAUUUACAGACUUCGUUUGCAUUUUUUAGAAUUUAAAAACCAAUCGGCCACACAUUCGUAGUCAUGUUUUCUGAACAAGAUGUUCGAAAUUUCUUUUCAUUUCAUGGGUAAGGCCUAACACUGGACUCAAUAACAUGAAUAUUAUUUUUCUACUCAUUUUAUUCUAUUAUUAGAAAUACUUAAAGUUCCAAUUUGACUUAUACCAAAAAAUUCCUAGAAAUGCAAUAAAUUAAUUAAAUAUAGCAAAUAGAUCCAGAAAUAUACCAAAUUAUAACAUGAAAUACCACAUGUUGUAUAUUGAGAGUAAAAAAAGUUUCAAGGUCAGAAGAGAAAAAAAAUAAAAUUAAUUGCCGAGUGCCACAGAUUUACACUCAGCAAACAUAUUAACGGAUUGACUCGUGCCACGUUCUUUGCCGAGUGUUUUUUUUUCCUUUUUUACCAAGUGUAAGUCUUUGAUGAGUGUUUCCACUAACGGACACUCGACAAACAUACUAACGGAUAUACACAUGGCACGUUCUUUGCCGAGUGGCUCCCUUUGCCGAGUGUUUUUUUCCUCUUUUGCCGAGUGCCAAAAUUUGCCGAGUGUCCAUGCAUGUUUUUGCCAAGUAUAAAUGUUUGCUGAGUGUUUUUUGAUCUGUUUACCGUGUGUUGCAUUUUUUACCGAGUGUUUUUUUAUUAGCAGUCGGCAAAUAACUUUUUUGCUGAGUGCCCGAUAGAAUACACUCGGCAAAUAUUUGGGCACUCGGCAAACCCACUGUUUCCGGUAGUGAAUACACUACUCCCUCCGUUCCAAAUUACUAUUUAUUAUAGCUUUUCUAGAUACAUAUGUAUCUAGACAUAGGUUAUGUACGUCAGGAUACAUAGUAAAACCAAGGUAUCUAAAAAAGCUAAAACAAAUAGUAAUUUGAGACAAAGGAGUACUAAACAAAGAUUUGUAGGCACGCUCCAUUUUCUAGGGUCGGAUCAUGGCAUGGCCCGCUCCUGAAAUGGCGGAAACAUCUAUUUCUAAUUGGCAUGCAGCACCGCGGCGCCGCGGAUGCUCACCUCCCACCAUCGUUCAGCCACCGGCCGCACUUGCCGCCAGCCCAACCGGCGCUGUCGCCAGACAGAUGGCUGACCCCAACCAUCCCUCUUGUAACAUCCUGAGUGCUUAAAUGGUGUCUUAAUCUUAAGAGCAAGUCCUUGUGCUUAGAAAAAAGCUUUAGCAACUUUUAGGCAAAGUCCAAGCUUUGGGGCUCUCUAAUUAGAGGUUUCCAAUGUCAUCUUGAGUUGAGCCCUAUACCAAAGUUUUAGAGCUUCGGGACCUUAACAACUUUGCUUUAAGGAGCAAGUUUGAAAUCUGCCCCAAAAGCCUUCAAAAUCCAAGUCAAAGUUUCCGAGUUUGGUCAACUCAGCCUCUUUAGCCAUUCCGGCUAAAGUCUGGAAAAUCAGCCUGACCUAGCGCUUUAAGGCAGGUUGAUCUUUGGAAAGUUGAAUAGAACAUCAGGAAGUCCUUUUGUAGAAGUUGGAGAAUGAAGUUCCUACAACAACUUUGCUAAUUGGACCUUGGUCCAAUUCACCUCCUAAGCUUCCCAAAUCUGCAGCUCAAAUCCGCCCCGACCCCUGAAAAUCAGCAAAACCAUUGUUUUUCCUUAAGUCCUGAAACCGGUGUUCCUCCAAAAUUUGGAGCUUUGAAUCUCCCAAUCCACAGUGUUUUUAAACUCGAUCAAAUUACAAAAGUUGGACCUUAGUCGGUGUACUACAACUCUUGUAAAGGGGAGCCGACGUGGCGCAGUUUGAAAAUCGGGAGAUCCAGAGGCUUGAAGGUGGGCCCGGCAGAGGAUCUCGCGGAUCCUUCGGCCAGACAGCGCCAGAGCGUGCGUGCGCCGUGCUCAGAGCGCCGCCGCCGCGCGGCGUGACCCCACCGGCGAGCGUCACCUCGCCCAGUCGCCGGCCGCGACAAGAUAGAUCAGCGCGCCCUUUUUCCCAGUCGCGCACAGAAGGGCCCUGCAGACCCCUCCGCCCCGUCUCGUCUCGCUCGAGACCUCGCCAGCCGCACCGGGCGCACUGCUCGCAGCUCCACCGUCGCCCCGGCCACUCUGCGACCGAAGACCAGCCACUGUCGCACCAGUACCGCCUCGCCUCCCACGCACAUCCGUCUCAUUCGGAUCCCCGGCCGAGCGUCCCAACGCCUUUCGGCCCAUCCGUCACACCUCAGUCGCGCGCUGCCCACGCGCGCGCCCCGCGACGCUACCGUCUUCGCCAACCGCCGCGUACGCAGUGACAGCUCCUUCCCCUGCCUUGCCAGUAGCGUGCCCCGGCAGAGCCGCUAGCCCCGCGCCUGCUCGCGUCACACCACUCGCCCUGACACCUCGCCUGCAGCGCCCUCGCCUGCAGUGCCCCUCCCUCCCUGUUGUCCGCCAAUGCCGUCGCCAUCGUCCCACGCCUUCGCCCGCUCGCCCAAACGGCGCCCGCGUCUUCCUUUCCCUCGCACGCCACGCCACUGCCGCACACCGGCCGAGCCGCCGCACCCAAUCUUGCGCUUGACGCGACCAGACACACACUCGACCUUGCCAAUCAUUCCACCCAGCAAAACCGCGCUUGCCUGACGCUAUCUCCCUUGUCCAAUGCCCGGAGGAUCCUGUCCCCGGAGCUCCGCUUCUCCGGCCAAUGGAGGUGCCGACCAAUCGCUGCCGCGACAGAGCACUUCUUCUCCCUCGAUCUUAUCCUCACGCCCGCUCAAGCUCGAUUCCUUCCUCCGAACAUUUCCGCGCAGCUAUAAAAGGGGUACCGAAGCCUCUUACUGGAGUUCGCUUCGCUACCACCGCCUUUGCCUCAAUACUUUCUUUGUUCUUCUCCAUUGCAUUCGCCACCGCACACUCCUAUGCUUCACGCCCAAGCGCCACCGCCUGAGCUCGUCAUGGAGCUCCCCCUUCCACCCAACACCGCACCUUGCUGACCCCACCAGUCAUUUUGCCUUCCUCUCGCGCAGCUCUAGAGGUUGCUUGUUGUCCACAAGAAGCACCACUACCACCGCAGCACCGCCAAACCCCGCCGCCGCCGAAACACCGUUGUUCCUCGUUCCGCCUCGGCUUGGUUCUUCCCGACCCCGAGACCUCAUCAGUGGGAUCAAAGGUGAGAUGCCGACCCCCCUUCCAUCUCACCCGACCCCUUCUGUCUCACCCGACCCCUUCCGUCUCGCCCAACUCGCCCGAGUGUUGUCCGCCUCGCCCGAGGGCUCAGUUGUGUCUUUUUCUUUUUGACCGAGGGUAUCUGUGUAAAAUUCUGAGGACUCCUCUGUGUUAAAUCUGAGGACCCCAGUGUAGUCUUUCCUUAAGUCUAAGGGUCUGAUCGUAAGUUUUUCCUGAUCCGACUCUUUUAACUUGUUCUAAAUCGACAGAAGCUUGGAAAUUACACCUUAAAUCGACGAAAAAUCAGAAAAAUGUGAAAUCACUUGGGUUGGAAUCCUCAUUCUGAGUAGAAUCCAAUAAAGUGGGUUUCACACCUUUUCCUGUAGUUUUGCUACAGUUUUGGGGUUAAAUCUUUGCACUGCUGUUGAAAUCACCGUCUCAGUGUCUCACCCUUGCAUUGCAUUUCGUAUAGAGCUGAACCUCAGUGACGGCACAUACGAGCUUCACCCGGUGCCCGAAGAUGAAGUCGUAGUUGAGCCGCCACCUGCAGGAGUCGAGCCCGUGCUCACCGAGGACCAGUUCGCUACCGUCCCGCUUGAAGGCAAGCCCCGAAGCAUAACCCAAUUUUUCUAAACUUGUGCAUGCCUUCUGGUGUUAUGUGUGUGCAUUUACGUUCCAGGAGUUGAUUGAAACCAUAGAUGCAUGACUUAGUUUCCUUUGAUCUGAACACUAGUAUGAUAGGCCGAGUAGCUGCUUUGCUUAAAUAGGACUCGGUAAAAGUCAAGUGAUUUCCUGUCACUCGCAAGUUAUAGGAGUUCCUUGCUUCUGUUUGCUACAACUAUAAGGAUGAUGGACAGGGCAGGGCUCUGUGAACUAUUUUGGUGGUCAGUGGAUGACCCCGUCUGUCUACAUGAAAAUUGUUAAGGUCGAAAAGUGAUGGUGUUCGUGAUCAAGUGCUUGAAAGUACUAAUCUCAUACCUAGUAUGGGAUGGGGAAGCCUAGUACCUGAUUGAACCAGGACGCGAGCAGUUCGAUCCACUGUCUCUGGAAUGAAGUUCCCUUGCGGCCGCAUGUGGUGGCAAGUGCGGUCACAGAACGGCAAAGGCCGGGUCUGUGGAGCCUUGUACCAAGGGAAGUGGGUCCGACACAGGUCUGGGGAUUGAUGGGGACGGCCGACAAAGGAAGAGAACUUUGUGUUGCGCGGAUAUCGUGAGAUUAGGUUCGCCAUGCAUGGUUAAGAAAUUCGAAUUGAUUCGUCUGCCUCUCACAGUUUGGGACUACUUGAUCGCUAUGCUACACUGAGUAAAGAUGGAACUUGAUUGUGAUGUUAAUAUGAAUGCUUGUCAUAAAUUGCUUGGAAACUUUUGCUUGUUUAGUAUAUCUGCUAACUUAGAUUGGUAAAUGAACCUAGAACCUGUGGCUAAAAUAUUGAAAGUAAGGACCUACCGUAGUUGCUUUUGGCAAAAACAAACCCCUCAGCCAGAAAGCUUGCAUGUCUAGAAGUUGGUGGAUUAGUACCACCGGUCGGUUAAGUCUUGUUGAGCGUAGUCACUCAGCCUUGUUGUGGCAAAUCUUUUCAGGUAAUGUUGAAGCUCCUGAGUUUGCUGCCCGUGGCACUUGCCUCCCCAACUUCCUCCUGGGUGGACGGUCGAGUGGGAUCCCUCCUCGGACGGCGAGGACAGGGACCAUUGAUGUCAUGAUCGGCCUCGUCAUGACAUCCGACCCUGAUGCUAGCUUCCGCUCGUUAUUUUGUUUCUGCUGCUUAAGAACUCUGAAAACUUUGUUGAAUUUCGAACCUGAGAUUGUAAUAAGUUAAUGUACUUGUUUAACUUGGAUGAUCUAUUGUAUUCUCUAGAACCACUCACCUUCGUGUGAGCUCUGCUUUCUCGGUCCUGUGUAGUGGUUUAUCGGAUGAAAUCCGACGGACUGCCGAGUUAACUUGAUUAAAGCAUAUGAUCGCGUGUCAAGUGACUUAAUUGUGCUUUAGCUAAGUUAAUUAGGGCGGUUCCGCCACACCUCUAUGGGUGCCUUUGGUUGGGGCUAAAAAGUUGUACAUGCUUUUGCUCUAGUACAAAUGCAAAAGCACCACCCCUUGCUUUCAAGUGCUUUUGGGGUAAAAAAUUACCAACCUGCCACUGUUUAUGAAGGUAACGGUUCGUUUUUUGGAUCCAUUUCUCCCACAGUCCUCCGUCACAACCAUCCGCCUCCCGUAUUCGAGCGCCGCCCCUGGCGGACCGUCUCCCUCCGCUCCCGGUCGCCGGCCCACCGCCCCCUUUGCCGGUCCACUUGCUGCCUAAUCCAGUCGCCGCCCCCAAUCACCUGCCACACCCCGCCCCCGGCCGCCGCACCGCGCCGCCCGCCUCCGGCCACCGCUCGACAUGCCCGCCCAGCGCCGGUCGUCGCCCGCCGCGCCUCGAGGUAUGAAUCCUUUUUCUGAUUUGCUCAUGUGCCUGUGGUCUAAACACCACAGAUUACUGAGUGGAUGUAAAACGUAGAAGAAGUUGUUUCUUAGUUCAAAAAUUUCUGCUGCUUGUGUGAUUUAUCUCCAUUGUAAACAUUGACUGAGAUUACUGUUUAGCCAACCUUAAAUCGAUUUAUUCACCUCAUGUUUGAUGUGUUCAUGCCCUAGCAAUUGUCCUCACUUGGAUGGAUUUUCACUAAUGGGUCAGAUUAUCCUUGUGGAAGUGUAUGACACUAGGAUAUGGUGAUAUGAUUUCCACUUCUUGAUUUGUUGGUAAGGAAAUAAAAAUGUCAUAUGUGCUCCUGAUAUGGUCUUAUGGAGUAUGGUUUUCUAGUACAUGAAUGUGUUACUGUUGGACUAUGUCAAACUACAUAACAAGACCUGACUAUCUGACUAUGUAUUAUAAUUACUGUAAUUCACAUGUGAGGGAUGUGGAAUCUAGCACUUUGUUCUUGUUCUUAUAAUUUAUUGAAGUCAUAGUAUCUUUCAUUAGUCAUAUGAAUUGAAUCAAACAAUAUUUUUGGUUGGUUGAAGAAUGAGUGACAAGGCAGAUUGAGGUGAUGCUUUUUUAAGGCAUUUGAUUGAUGCUUGCAAAGAAGAGAUUGAAGCCGGGAAUAGGCCGAUGGGAAUUUUCUCUACUACCGGUUGGAAGAAUGUUGUUUCCAAGUUUGCAAAAAAAUCCGGUGAUAGGAGAACAAAAAAACAAUUGAAGAACAAGUUAGAUCUUCUGAAAAAGGAGUAUUCAACAUUUAUGGAGUUCAAGAAUUGUACCACCGAUCUUGGAUGGGAUGAGGCAAAAUGAACUGUUGACUGCUUAGAAGAAUGGUGGAACGAACACCUUGCUGUAAGAAUUAUGUUGUCAUUUUAAAUAUAUUCUUCCCAUUCUUUGUUAUUUGUUGCCUUGCUAAUUUUUUUUAAUUUUAGAGAUGCAACAAUCGUGAGAAAGGAAUCAAAUGCCACCAUGUGAAGUUUCGAAAACAAGGACCCAAGUUCCUUGAUGACCUGCAUAUCUUGUUUGGCAAGGCACAUGUAAGUGAGUCUUCUGCAUCCUAUCUUGUAGAUAUAUCCUCCAAUGAGGCAAGUGAUGAGGAUGUGGAUGAGGUACCAAAACCUACAUAGAAGAAUAUGACAGUGAACCUAGGAAAAAGGAAACGCAAGGGUACCUCCAUUGGUGUUGAAGAGGAGGAUGAGAAAAGCCCAUUCUUUCAUUUGUAUAAGAAUACUUGUUUGAAGAUAGAAAAUGAUGCAGAGAGGAUCUCCACAAGUGUUGAAGCAUCAUCAGCUCCUCCAACCAACCUAGUUCCUACCAUUGCAGAGACCAUAAAGAUGGUGAAACAAUGUGGGGUGCAAGAAGGAACUGCUCUAAAUGUACACAGCCGCCUCCCUAAUUGUUAAGCCUGAAUUUAGAGAGCUCUUUAGCUCUCUAGAAACAACUAAAGGAAGACUCAAUUUGAUUGAGAGGGAGCUAGAAAAGGAGAUGAUGAAGCGCCACUGAUUUGUUUCCAUGUUUAUCAGAUUAUUUUCUUGUCAUAUGUGACAACAAUUUCCCUAUGUUGAACCAAAAUAAGUUACCCUAUAUUGAACCAAUUUACCUGGAGAUGUGAAACAUUAUUUAUCUAUUAUUGUGUUAUGUUGAGCUUCUUCAUUUAGUAUUGUCAUGAAAGUUGUUGUAUUUAAUUAUUAAUAUACUAAUGUCUCAUGUAGAUGGAUGAUAGAUUAGGAGAUGUAGCCAAAGGAGGAUAAAAGGAAUACUAUUGCUAGCUGAACUUGCUCAGCAUGUUGGUGCUAUUGGAGAAAUGGGCAAUAGUUCACAUGAAGUUUCACGAAGUGUUGAAGUGUUUGCGCAAAUUAGCUAAGGACAACAUUAAACCGAGAGAUCCUACUUUUUUUACGAAGCAUGAAAGGGUGAGAGAGGACUGUUUUUGGCCAUACUUUAAAGGCGCAAUUGGAGCAAUAGAUGGUUGGUUGUGCCAGUGGACGAAGUAGUUAACCACACAUGCCAUCAUGGAUAUACAUCUCAGAAUGUGCUAGCUAUUUGUGAAUUUGACAUGAGGUUCACCUUUGCGGUUGCCGGGUGGCCAGGUUCUGCACAUGACACAUGUAUCCUCAACCAUGCAUUGGCAAAUUUUCCUUUAUUUCCCAUGCCUCCUAAAGGUAUACAUGGUUCCUUCAUCAAGUUCACAAUACUUGUAUUAUUAUGUACCUCACUAACUUGGUACUAACUUGGUUUUGUAUGAAAGUAUUAUCUUGUGUACUCGGGUUACCCAAACCGAAUUGUGUAUAUUGCGCCUUUCAAAGGGAGCACGUACCAUAUACCAGAAUUUCAGCAGCGUUCGGGGCCUACUCAAGGAAAGUACGAGAUGUUCAAUUUCUUGCAUUCAUCUCUUCGUAAUAUCAUUGAAAGGUCUUUUAGAGUCUUAAAGCAGAAAUGGCGUAUUUUGAAGGGCAUGGCAAGUUUCUCACCUCGUACUUAGAAGCAUAUCAUUAUGGCUUCUCUUGUAUUGCAUAAUUUUAUCCAUAACAGCAAUUUGUGUGAUAAGGAGUUCAAGAGAUGUGAUAAUGAUGAUGAUUACUUGGUACAACAUACAAGUGGCACGAGACAAACAUAAGGAGAUAAGAGUGACAAGGUGAAAAAUGAAGAUACCAUGAAUAUCAUUCGUACUAGGAUAGCUGAUGCUUUGGUUAGUGCAAGAGGAGGACAGUAAUAUUGAGGCAUGGCAUCAUUGUAUGAAAGUUUUGAUGGAUAUUGUUCUAUUUAUAUGGACCAAUCACUUUAAUGGACGAAGAACAUAUAAAUUUAUUUAUUUUUUUAAAAUAAUUAUUUACAUGCGAAUUAGUGAAUACAUUAUUUUGUUACAAGUAAUUUGCAUAUAAACACACCCACAGACCUUUAAGAGUAUUAUAGGUAUUUCUUCCACAGCCUACCGAUGCUUCUUGUUUUCAGGUGUACGGCCGCGUGACGAUGAACAACACGCUGUGCCUCGGCGUGUACCUGGCACUGGGGUGUUUUUUGUUUUCAGGUGUACGGCGGCGUGACGAUGAACAACACGCUGUGCCUCGGCGUGUUCCUGGCACUGGUCUACUUCCGUAACCUGACGUGGGACUUCUCGUCGGAGGUGUUGAUCAGCGAACUCAUCUGCGUCGUCGUCGCCCUCUUCACCAGCUUCAGGAACACGUUCCCGCUCUGGACCUGCCUGGUCGCCUGCAUGUUCUACCCGCUCUCUCUGGGCAUCGUCUACAUUCUCGACUACGUCUUCGGUUGGUCAUAGGCUCCGAUCAGUUUCAUCCUGCGAUUUUAACUCCUGUAUCCUGUAGUCAGUUUGGAAGCGGGGCAAAAAAAAAAAAAGCCUACUGCGCAUCCGGGGAAUCGAACCCCGGUCAGUACCGUGGGAGGGUACUAUGAUACCACUACACCAGAUGCGCCUAAUUGUUAAACGCAGUUUAGGAGUAUUAUUUAACUGCAACUUCCCUAGUCACCUGUUUGGUUUCGCAAUCGCUAGUUCCGUGCAUAACUGCGUACUGCCCCGUAGAGAUGAGCGCAAGGAUUUAUGAGUUUAUGAUCGUAGGUACUUUGAUACGCCUCUACGGGAUUUAUGAGUUUUCAAGGUUCAUGUAAUAAAAUUCGCUAGUAAUGGUGGGGUGUCUGAAACAAAGAUUUAUGGAGGUAUCCUGAAAAAGGUUGUGUAGUAAUCUUUUUUUUCUAAACAUGUCGUUUUACCUUGAAUGGAUCCCUAUGUUAAUCUUCACUAGAUGCGUAAAAAAAAUUGAAAAAUUAUAGAAACUCUCACGGAAGCGUAGACAUCCGGCCAUCAAUUAUGUAACUCUAGUAUCCAUUCACAAUAAUAAUCGAUGGAUAUAAUAUACCCACCUCUGUUGUUAUUUAUGAAAAAUAACCUAAUAUAUCCUCCUCCUAUGUCUAUAUCUAAAUUACCCAUUUUUAAUAUUGUAAAAGGUAUAAAGUAAUCCUCUAAAGUUUUAUAUUAAUUGUCCACCUCUGCCUCUUGAAAAUGGAAGCUAUAUAUGCACUACUACUGCUAUCAGGACACGUGUGAGCUUAGCUUUUCAUCAAGAGUUAGCUGUGAUGUUUUUACAUUAUUCAUUAAUUAAAAUAUUAACUUCACUAGCUCGACACUCCCUUGUUGGAAAAACCCUAACAAUAUUGCAUGAUAUAAUAGUACACCACCAUACUUUUUGUUUCAUGCUUCCAGCCUCCAAACUCCACAACCAAAGACCCAGGCUGAACUGCAUGUGAGGAUGUAAGUCUGAACUACUCCCUCCAUCCUUUUUUUUAUAAAAAAGGACGGAGGAAGGUAGUCAACAACCAAAGCUGACUGAGUAAAUGAGUCAGCAAAUGCUAGCAAGCGUCCAGCAACAGAAGGCUGCAGACUGCAGGCAGCCCGGCAAUGCGCCGACCUACGAGAAGGUGCUCGUACACGGCUCUCAAUCCAGCCCUUGGCAGCGCAAGUAGGCACAUCAAAUCUCAUUCUCUAUUUGAUUUGUCUUCCUGAUUCAAAUAUUAAAUUUUUGCAACACAUAGAUCUAAAAGAUCGUGCGCUAAUGUUUCAAGCAAAUUGUUAUUAAACCUGAAAGAAAAGCGCGACUCUUUCUACAAGAAGAAAUAGAUUGCAAUGGGGUUCAGUCCAUGAUGGGUACAACCAGGGGCGGAUCCAAAACGGGGCUUCACCCCGGGCUAAGUUGCUGAAUCACAGCCAAAACAGUCUAAUCUUGCCUCGUAAACCUCCUUUUGUUAGGCUAAAUACCACAUAUAUUAAAGGGACUACAUGGGCUCGCCCCGGGCUGCAGCCCGGGCAGCCCGGGCCCUAGAUCCGCCCCUGGGUACAACUAAAAAUGAUUUGCAUGCUAUGAAGUCACAUAGUAUGCCUAAAAUUUUAGAUCACCUAAUGUUUUCCCAGAUAAAAUGUGAGUCCAAAAACUAUGUUUAAUGUUAUGAAAACUUAAUGCAAAUAAUAAAAGGUAGAACUUUUGGCAGCGUCUACAUUUCUCAUUGCAAACGAUGUUGUCCGGCCCUCCCUAUAUUCAUAUUUUCUGGUUCUGCCACUGCAUGUGCAGUAUACGGCGCCACUUUGGCUAGUUACAUUGGAAAUUUUGAACGGUCAUAUCAUGCAGAUCAGUGGAGGUAAGCAGGGUUGCGCGCGGGCCAGCGGAAGGCGCCAAGGCGGAAGAGUAGGACAGAGCCAGACAGCGGACAAGUCCUCUACAAGACCUACAUCUCAUUACGUCCAUGACCAUGAUAAGACAAGUCGAAGGUGCAUUGAUCGUGGUGGGUCAGCAUACCUCUUUUUUUCUUCUGGCGUUGCAAGAACAAGCUUUGGGUUCCAGCCUUCCAGGUGAAAACGCAGCAAGCCAGCCACCGCGCUAGCUGGAAUCUCAGCCCGCCAUAGCACCAUCAAGCUGACCCACCAGCCACCACAGCCCAAUCGCGCAGGUAAGCUUUCUUUCUUUUAUUUUGUUUUUUCUAGUUAUUUAUGACCUUGUAUAUUCAGAUAUUAAACUAAUAUAGUAAAUAUUUAUUAAAGCUUAGUCCAACAAUUCUAAUAAACUAGUUUACUAUUUUUCAAAAAAUUAUAUGAAAAUGCUGAAGCGCUAUAUUCAAAAUGUGGAAUAUGUACGUUCAAAAUGUUGAAGUGGUAUAUUCCGAAUGUUGAUUUUCAAAAAAAAUAAAAUAAUAUUAAUAUUGGAUAUUACUUUAUUGCAUAAAUUCUAAAUAAUACUAUGGUUUAAAUGAAAUUUAAAAGGUAUUUGCGUGAAAGAAAAUUGAAACCAAAGUUUCAAAUUCAAAAAGGAAUCCGUCCAUCUUCCUCCCCACCAUAGUCAAACACGCAUAUUGGCACCUAUCGCCUCCACCCAAAACCGCAGCAGCAUGUCGCGAGAAAACCGUGGAAGCACCUCUUCCAUUAAUUUUCAUCCUGUCCAUUUAUUUUGAUCUGCAUGAGUAUCAAGUUGUGAAAGAUGGCUACUAUAUGCUUUUUGAAAGGUAGAUAAGCAACUUAUCUUUAAAGCCAUAUUAAGUACAUGUAUAGCUUUUUUUUAACAUCCAUCAACAUUUGUUGACAUUUAUCUACAUUUUUUUUACAAAAUAUGCUUUAAUUGUUACCAACAUUUCUUGACGCUAGCCAAUAUUUGUUUAUAUGUACCAACAUUUUGUUAACUUCUUUUACACUUACCAACAUUAUUUCUCAAUAUUUUUUUACACUCACCAGCAUUUUUUGCAUCCAUCAAUAUUUUUUUGACAUUUACCAACUUUUUUUCUAAAGAUGUUGAGCUAGUUAUUUGACUACUGUUGGGUUAUCGGGAAAUCCGUGUGGGAUGGACUUGCGACCAUGCCUGACCCGUCAGGCAAAUCUUUCGGCCUGUUGUCUGUCAGGGCUGUGACUGAGAUUGGGCCAAAAUCUGAUCCGAGGCCUCACUGAGAGCCCAGCCCACCUGCCGCCGCUUUCCUCCCUUCCCCUUCCCCGUUUUGCUGUCGCCGCCGGCAUCCUUCCCCUUCCUUCCACGGUUCCACCUAAUUCCGAAGAACGGCGGCCGCCAGGCAAACACCUGGUGCUCCUGGUUCCAUCCGAGGAAGAGAAAAAGGGCACGCACUCAGAUCUCCGACAACGCGUGGAUUGGAUCGGUAAUCCAUCCUAAUUUACGGUUUGUUCUCGUUGGUAAGAAACACUAGCAAGAUGAAAUUACGGGGGAAGAGACACCCGUGAGAUAGAGCCUGCACGAUGGUUUAUUACAUUUUAGGCGUGGAUUUUGAACCGGGAGAUAGAGCUUACCUGCUUGGCUGCUUCUGUGAGCAGUCAAGUUGGCUGUUUAACUGAAAACCCAUCCCCCAACGCUAACUCCAUCCUGCACGAGGGCACACUAUUAUUUUCCUCCAUUUUCCAUGUUUUCAUUGUGAGGUCCUAGCUGCUCAAAAGUACAAAUGUUGCUAGUGUCAUGGUGAAUAAGAUAUAUAGCAAUGUACAACUUCUCUGAAAGUUACCAUUCCCUAUCCUGUCAUUUUCAUAGACUCCCACGGUUGGUUCAGGCGUUGGUCCUUUCUGUAAAUCACGACUCGUCUCAUAAUAUGAGGACCAUGUUGUGAGGCAUUUGGUUCUUCAAUCUUCAUGGUUCCUUACUUUAACUGUGUUUCAAGGAGGCUCACUUCGUUGUCUUUGAACACAUAUACACCUGUUGGUUGGGGUAGCUGUGGCGGGCAAAAGUUUUCAGAAUUUUUCUUACUAGCCGGUGGCCACUCCAACUGACAUUAUUGUCACCUGCCAAUCAGGUGACUUUCCGUUGUCCAUAGCAGAGAAAAGAUGGUUAAUGCAAUCAAGGGGUUGUUCAUCUCCUGGUAAGCUCAUGAGAAAAGUAAUUUUUUUUUUGAGGGGGUCUAUAAUCCGCACUAUUGCCAUUUCUUCUUCUCAGCGAUAUUCCAAUGGCACAGUUCAUUGUUAAUCUGAAUGCUUCAAUGCCUGCAUUGGAGAGGUUCAUCGUGCACAUGCUCGAUCCCACACACAUGUUUGUUCAUCCUCAUGUGGCUGAGAUGAUCAGAAGCAAGAUAGCAGAGUUCAGGAACCAGAACAGUUACGAGAAGCCUCAGUGAAGGAUCAUCCUACCCCGCAUUUCCUGUGUCACCCUCUGUGUAGAUAUAUUGGCUAAUAUCCAUGUAGAAUGCUAUGUUGUAGUAUGGAUGGAUGCCAUGCCUCCUGAUGAUCUAGAAAUGAUACUUGUUUUGCAUUACAAAAUAGUGACUUGUUCUGACUCCUUGGAGAGCCUUUUAUCUGCUGAUGCAUCAUGUGGUGCAUAUAAAUUGAGCGUUCAACUUGGUUGCUGGUGGUCCUCAAUGCGGGAGGACCAUUGAGGACCCUUAGCCGAGUCGCCGUUGCCAACUCUGAAAUUCCAUUGCUUUACACUAAAAGCUCAUGCAUAAGUGCAUGCUAUCGUUUGACAAACAAACUCAUUUUCAUCACAUGGAAAAAGCGGGUGUGCAGAUUGUUAACAGUUCCGAAAAACAAAAGGCUGCUACAAUCUCGCCGUUUCUACCAUAUCAAGGGUGGCUAGUGGAUACUAAAGUUCUAUCAUGCAACAAUCUAGAUGGUAAUUACAGAAAUAUGCAUAGCAGUAAAGCCACUUGUAGAGGUAAACGUGAUCUGAUUGGAGCUUCAAGGAGUUAAACACACUUAGCCUGAUUUUAUAGAAUGCUUGUGUCCAGCAGAAACAUCUUUAUCUUUUCAUAGAACGCUUAAAACGAAAUCAAAUGAUAAAAACAAGCACCAAAAAAUAAUUGCGUAUCAACUACUUGAAGGUUCAAAAUAGCACAUGACUUCACUGUUCAGAACAGCCCCAUGGCAAUGCAUGCGUCCAGCAGGCACGUCUACAUCUUUUGAUAGAAUGCUUACAGCAAUGGUUUUCUGUAGCCUAAAAUGUAAGAAAUCAAGCCUCAGCAG
rnacentral:lncRNA from 1 species